UCUCCUGGAGUAGCAUCAAAGAAUAGCAGAGUACCUAAAUAUGGACAAAAUAGCUUUGACUUUAUAAAAUCUUCUCCACUAGAGCAAAUGGACAACCGAGGUAGGUUGGGAGGCUCAUUAAAGGUAGAGAGCUCAUCAUAUCCUCGCAGGACCUGAAGAAAUUUCUUUUCUUUAGCCUCGCCCUUACAGAACUCAAAAAUCAAAUCGUGAAUGUAACAAGUUUUGACUCCACCAAUGGAUCUGCUUUUACUUACCAUAACUAAGUUUCGACCAAUUAGGUCCAUCAGAUAUUCUUCUGCAAUGACCUCCGAUCUUUUUCCUUCAAUUUUUUCCACAAACCCUUCUGCAAUCCAUAGACGCAUCAAAUUCUUGGCACCAAUUUUUUCAUCUUCUCGAAAUGCAGCAAAAUACAGCAAGCAUGCCUUCAAGUGAUACGGUAAAUGCUCAUAACUGAGCUCCAAUGACUUCUUGCACUGGUCUGUACCAGACACCAUGGUUGAAGUUAAACUUUCAGCAAAUUCUUCCCAAACCAAACUAUCAUGCCCUAUAGUUGCCAGAACUCCAGCAACAACAACAACUACUAGUGGCAAUCCCCUGCACUUCUUGGCAAUCUUCGUAGCAAUUCCACACAAUGCUUGAGGACAAUCUUCUUUUCUAAAUACCUUCUUCAGCAGUAAUUCAAAACUUUCUUUCUCACUGAGUGGACGAAGAUUGUGAGGUUUCCCCCCAUAUUCAACCUGUGAAGCCACAUAAGAAGAUCGACUCGUGAAGAUGAUUCUACUUCCUUUCUUUUCAUCGGGGAAUGAAAUUCUCAGCUCAUUCCAUACCUUAAUGUCCCAGACAUCAUCAAAAACAACAAGAUACCUCUUCGUCUUCAGCCUUUGAUAGAGCUUGUGAAGCAAUUCAUGUUCAUUCAAGUUUUUAAGCUCUUUGUCCAUCCUUGACCGUUUUCCAUCAGAACACAAAAUUUGUAUUAACAAGCUUUUCAUGUUAAAUUCUUGAGAAACAGUGCACCAAAGACGAAUGUGGAAGUUACAGAUUACUGAACUGUCAUUGUAAACUUUUUUGGCUAAAGUUGUCUUACCAAGCCCAGCCAUUCCCACAAUAGGAACAAUUUCCACCUGUUCUGGUCCCCAUAUAAGUCGUUCAAUUACUUUUGCUGCCUCGUCAUCGAGACCAACCAUGACUUCGUGGGCUAUUGGCAUUUUACCUUUUGAUAGAAUGUGGCUGGAAGUCUUGCUAACUUCUGGUGCUCUUAAGCUGUGAAAGGAAGGAAGACUUUCAAUAAUGCUUGAGCCACUGAUCUGAUCCUUAAAAUGCUUGAUAUGGAUGUUGGUAUUAGCCAGCAUAUCAUAACAGUCAAGGGCCUCUGUUCUUUCUGAGAAGCUAACUUCUCCUUCCUUCACUCUGUUUAGAGAAGGCAAGCAAAUUAUAAUGCCUGCCUCACAAAGAAGAGCACCAAUUUUUUCGUUCUGUUCAUCCAUCUUCUCCUGCUGCUCCCUUAAAAUGCUUCUCAAGAACCUCAGUCCUGCAUAGAGUAUUCGCAUUUCAUCUUUCAAAGAAUCCAUAAAGCUAGAGCUGCAGCAUAACAGCUGCCAGAGACAACUUAUGAGAGAAUCAUUGAAGUUUUUCAAUAUCUGCUUAUCCAUCAUUCUAUUAUGCAAUGAUUUUGAGGAUCUUGUAGCUCUAAGAACUUCCAUAUAAAUCUCAUAGACUUGAAAAUCAAUAGGUGUGAUUUUCUGUUGUUGCUCAUAUAUCAUGGAGCAGAACUCAGGAUUGUGCCGCUCCUUACCAUCCCAAACAGAGCACAUGUAAAAGAGGUGUGCUGCGUUCAAAGUCACCACUUCAAAGUGAGCCAAUAGCAAGGCAGGAAUAUCUGCAGUUCCUCGCAAUUUGGCAAAGGGAAUGAAGUUUUUCAAGAAUGUUAGCUUUGCUUCAAGGGCUUGGAAUUGAGCACUAACUUGGGGAUCCAUAUCAUCAAUAAUACCCAAAUAGACAGUUGUUAAAUCCGCUAGAUUUUCUAGAAUGAGGUCUAUAAAUUCGAUUAGUUCAUCAACUGGCAUGCAAGAAUUUGAUUCCAAUGAUCUGCUGCUUGGCAAAGUAAAGUAAACUUGGAUGAUUUCUUGCUUAAAUGAUUUGAUCUGUUUCAAAAACUCAGAAAACACUUCAUAGGGAACACGACCUAGGCCACUGCCAUCAAAUGCUGAUAUAUCAUGGCAAAACGAGUACUGAAAGUCCUCCUCAUAUUUGUGAACGUUAUCUUCAAUGCAAGAUAAGAAAGAUGGAAGACUCACCUUCUUCACAACAUUCUCAGAUUCCAAGUACAAAUCAUUGCUGUGGCUCCACUUUCUUGCACACAUAACAAAUGUUUUGUGAAAUCUUAUAUCCAGGAACGCAGCUCCAAAAUUGCAUUCUUCAAACGCAUUGUACCCGAAACGGAGCAUGGAUUUUUCCUCAGUUUCACUCUCAAAUUUUAAGGGAGAAACAGAUCUCGCCGACUGCAGAGCAAGCAAGUAUUUCUUUCCUGAAAUUUCUUUUUUCCCGUGGGAAGGUGAAGAAGAGAAAUGAGAUAAUAAAUUAUUCAACAGACAAACGGAGCAAGAUCAGGAAAGAACAGAUGAAUCAAAGUUAACGAGAGAGCGGUCAAAUAAUCUGGAAAUGAUCUUGGUCUGAAUAAAGUUAAGAAAUUUUAUUGACUACUACUGCAUAAUUUUUUGGAGUUUUUUUUUUUUAAUACCCGUUUCGUUGUUGAGAAGGACCGGUCUGGCAUUGCACCCCACACUGGCUUUUCGUUCUGAAAGAAAUUUUUUUUUAUUGGUUUUUGGACUAUUAAUGUGGCAUUGCACCCCACAUUUAGACUAUUUAUGCCGUCAAUUAUGACGGCUAAUCCUUAGACUGUUUAAGAAGCAUUUUUGCUAACUAAACCCACACUAGUUGCUCAUCCCUUCCAUCACACCCCAAUACACACACACACACACACAUGUAUAUAUAUAUAUAUAUAUAUAUAUAUAUAUGUAUGUAUGUACAUAGGUAGUGUCAAAAUGACACACAUUGUCCUCCGUGGUGGAAUUAGCUAAUCUUUGUGGUUACUAAAUAUUUUAUCUGGACAUUAAGGUAUUCUUGACAUUUCGUUUGGCUUCAUUGUCGUGGGCUGUUUUUGUUAUUUUGAUAUUUCAGUCCAAAAUAUGGAAAAACUUAUUUAUAAUAUUUAAAAUUAUAGAAGAUUUACCUGAAAAGUGCUGAAGCUAAAUAAAUUUAACCAAGAUUUGUGCCUUUCAUUAGGUAAGACUUUCUUACAUGUUGGCCUGGUUACCAUAGUCCAAGAGAGAAAAAGAAAAGAAAGGGGCCAAAAAGGAAAAAGGAACUUUAACUUUCAAUUGAUAGUUUCUUUCAAAAUUCAAGUAGUGUUGCUUAAUAAGUUUUACAUCCUAUGAUUGCAAACAACAUAAUUUUACGAAAUAACAAUUUUUUUUAUCUGUAAUUGCUAAGAAAAUUGUAAAAUGACUUUAUUAGAUAAUUUUAUCGGCUCAAUGGAUUCUCUAAGUUGAAUGAAAAUAAUUACAUCUUAACAAAGUCCGCAAACCUUGAUAUAUGAACAAGCAAAACUAUAAAAUACAAGUCAAUUAACCGCAAAAAUCCUUAGUAAACUCCAUUUUUUCACCCUCCCUCCUUGUAAGAUUGCUUGAUAAGCAAUCAAUUUCACUUUACACCCUUUUGAAUGAUUUCCACUUUGCAUCUCAAAUUUUUAUUUCUGGAUAGUUUGCACUUUAAAAUUACUAAUUACCAUGAAAUUGCACCUUAAAAUUUAUUUUGGAUAUUUUGCACCUAAAGUUAAUAAUCCAUCCAAAAUUACUGUGGUUUCACACAAUAUUAAUGUCAUUGUAGGAGCAAUAUGCACCUAUACACUGGCUUCUUAACUGUAAAAGUGGGAUUGGUUCAUCAGAAUGUCCCUCAAAAAAAAAAUUAAUAAAAGAGUGAAUACAUAUGCGUGUUAGAGCACUUUCACUUGCAAGAAGUUUGAUGACUUUAGGAUUUGAGACAGUUUAAUGAUCUGGAAUUAGCACCCACCAAGAAUGGUUUGGACUGAUCAGCCUCCUUCCUAUUAUAUUCAUCAGCAAACAAACGAAUAAAUUAUAGUGUAACCCCAUACAAUUUAGUGCAUUUUCGUAUAAUCAUAGUGUGGUAAAAUGUAUAUGACUCCACGAUUUGAAGCACAUUGUCAAAAUGACGGAUAUCGUCCUCUGCGUUGGAAUUAGUUAAAAUGUCAAAAUUAUUUAUAUUAAAACCCUAAAAUGAUUUUAUUAACUAACGUUGAAACUCUAAGAUUUAGAAGUCUUGGAAUCUAAUUCUCCUUCCUCCUCUCCGCUUUUGAAAAAGAAAUCCUAUUUCUUCCUUGUUAAAAAAAUGUUAAUAUAUAUAUAUAUAUAUAAGAUAAAUUACACUUUUGUACCUUGAAAAGUUAUUCAUAACCAUCAGGCCACUUUACCAUCCUCUGCGUUAGAUCUCCAUCAAUAUAUAUAUAUAAGAUAAAUUACACUUUUGUACCUUGAAAAGUUAUUCAUAACCAUCAGGCCACUUUACCAUCCUCUGCGUUAGAUCUCCAUCAAUUCUAAUAUUAAUUUUCUUGACUAACUUUAUGUCACAUGAAUUUAAUCAAAAGUCGAUCUACUAAAGGGCCAGAUAGAAGGAUGUUGGCAGCAUCAGAAGUCUUCAACUGAUCCAACAGGCCUAUUUCUGCUGGAAUUUGACCUGUUAAUUGGUUGUUGUUAAGUAGUAGGGUAUUUAGAAAUGUACAAUUUAAAAGUUUACAGGAAUCUCACCUUUUAUAGAAACAGAUCUCACCGACUGCAGAGCAAGCAAGUAUUUAGUAUUUCUUUUGGAGUUUUUGACAAGUGAUAGGUUGCAAUUUAUCUAUUUAUUUUAUUAUUAAUUUCCUCUGUUACCUGACCCGAUGUGGAUUAAUUAUUAGAUUCUACUCAUUUUUCGUAAUUUGCAUUUAUUUCAGGGAGUAGAACGAAAAUAUAACAACGGGUGCCAAUUUGACAGAAAAGAAAUCCAGAUGAUAGAGCUUGUCCCAGGGGCAUUUUUGGAAAAGAAGAUGUCACGCCCACUUUGAUAAUUUCCGCAAAGAAAUGACGGAUGAAGGGCUUCUUCCUCCUGGUUAGGGAUGGCAACGGGGCGGGGUUGGGGCGGGGGACGAGAGACCUAUUAGUUCCCCCCGUCCCCCGCCUCCCACUCCCCCUGCCCCGCCCCGCCCCCGCCCCGCCUUGCCCCGCUUCCCCCGCGGGGGCACCCGCGUUAAUAAAAUUUUAUUAUAUAAUUUUAUUAUAAUUAAAUUUUAAUAAAUAAUCAAGUACUAAAAUAUCAACACAUCACCAAAUUAUUAUUCAUUGUAAUUUUACAAUUGAAACUCAUAAAAACAAUCAAACAGAAGUUAUUUGAAUACAAUCCAAUAUGAUGAAAUAAAUAUAACUAAAAUAGUCAAAUUUUCACUUUUAGUACAAAUGCAAUCACUAAUUCAUUAUUGUGUUUGUGCUUUUUUUUGAGAAAAAAGUGUUAUUCUAUAAAGUGUAAUUAGAAAUUUAGUAUAAAUGUAUUAGUAAAUUUAGUAUAACUAAUUAAUAAAUUCUAUUAGUAGACAUGUAUAAUUAUUCAUAUAAUUGAUAAUAUCAAUUAUAUUACAUAAAUUAAUAUACAUUAUAUAAUACAUCUAACUAAUAAUAUAAUUAUCAUAAGUUUAUAACUAAUUAACUUACAUAUAAUAUAUAGUCAUUUAUAUAUAUAUAUAUAUAUAUAUUUUUUUUUUUGCGGGUGGCGGGGCGGGGGAUGGGGCGGGGGAGUAUACCCCCGCCUCCCGCCCCGUUUCUAAGCGGGGGGAAAAAUUUCCCCCCGCCCCCGCCCCACCCCCCGCCCCAACCCCCGCCCCGUGAGCCCCCCGCGGGCACCCGCCCCCAUUGCCAUCUCUACUCCUGGUGAGCCGCCGCAAUAAAGGAGGAAAAACAGGAUCAGAUGGAGGCGAGCUUAGUUUUAGUUUUCCGUCUGUAGCUUAGCUUGAGAUUGUUGACUUUUCCCUAAAAAUGUUUUUUGCUUGUCAUACGCAUGGCAGGCAUUAGAAAUUGGUAGCUUUUGACUUUUCUUCAUGUUAAAUGCUUAGAGUUUUUCUAUCUUUCCUGGUAUGCCGUCCGUAGUGAGGCAGAGGAUCAUUUCGUGUAACUUUGCUAUCUCCUCCUGGUUGGAGCGGAUUGAGUUCUAAAAAAUCAAUGACAAUGGCCGCAGAUUUAUCUUCAAUUUCCCGUGGACUUAGUUCAUCAAAUAUGAACUAAUUUCCUUCCUACUAGUCAAGGAGCAACGAAGGCUUUGGUUCGCUUAAAAAUUAUGAGAUCGAUUUAAUUCAAUCUUUUCUUUUUAUUUAUUGGUAUCCGCAUAUUUCUUGAUUUCUAUGCUCAUGGUUAUUUAAUUAAUUGAUUGUUUUGGAUCCGGAUAACUAAUUGAUUUGGUAACCUAUCGUCAAUUAGGGCAUUAAAUCCGUAAUUGUUUAAUUGUCCUGAAAUAGUGAUAACUGGCACGAUUAGAUUCGUGUCAGGGGGAUACGCGGGCUAAUCUGAAAUAACUCUGGUAGUGCGUUAUUUGGUUAGAAUAGGGUUCCUCUAAUACGUAAGGCAAUUGGGGAAUUAAAUCUUACGGGCGUACCUAGGAUUAUUUCCUAAUUAGAGCAGUGAUUAACGGGCGUACCUUAAUCACCGACACAGUAAGGAGGAGUUGACUGUCAUCCCCUGGUUGGCAGUUAUAACCUAUUUAUUGAUAAAUAAUCGGAAUUGCCUUUAUUUCAAUGAUCAAUUAGGUGAACCAUUGCUGAAGUUACUUUUUUGCUAGAUCUUUAGUUAAUAUUACCUUGAUUUUAGUGAAGUGCCAUUUGACUUUUAGUUGCCUACUUUAUUUUAUUUUUAAUUGUUUCCUUGUUUUAAUUGAUUUAGGCCUUUAAUUAUUGUUAUUCUAAAUUCAGUGAAUUGUGGUUUAAUUUCUAGUUAGUUAUUUAUUUUUAUUUUCUUAUUUGAAUUUAUUUGAUUGCUGUCGUUCCUACAAAAUCACCCCCUGUGUUACUUUGAAUUUCUUAAGAAACAAAUAUAUCCAGUCCCUGAGGAUACGACCCUACUUGCCCUGUCUACAAAUUCAUAAUUAUUUGUGAAAGAAAUAACCAUCCCAUUCGGGUAUAUCGGAUUAAGCAAACUCUUCGGGAACAAGGUGAAUCAAGUAACCCAUUGCACACCUAGAGUCCCUGCUCCAGUACUUGGAAUUGGGUCUUGGUCAUUUUAACUGGCAAUUAGGUUUAAUUUUAUUAUUGUGCAGGCUUCGACACCCUGUCAAUUUUUGGCGCCGUUGCCGGGGACUGGUGUUAUUAUUUGUUCCUUUUUAAAUUCAUUCUUUUUUUUUUCCUUUUGCUCUAAUUUUCUGGUAUUUUUCUAGUGCAUACCUUGAUCUUCUCGUACAGGUGAUUUGGUUUUUGACCCUGAGGUAGAGAAGACUGCACGUAGAAUAAGAAAAGAGACCAAACAGCUCAGAGAGGAGCACUCCUGUGCUACAUCUCGGAGACCUGAGUCAGAAACUGAACCAACAGAUUCAUUUGGUGACACUUCGAGUGACUCGGAGCAAGAAGAAAUCCCCAUGGCUAAUGCACGAACAUUAAGGGAGUUGGCUGCUCCUGAUUUAAAUCAGCAGCCUUUAUGCAUUACUUUCCCAAGUUUGAGUGAAAACACUUCAUUUGAAUUGAAAUCAGGUCUAAUUCACCUUUUACCCUCUUUUCAUGGUUUACCAGGUGAAGAGCCGUAUAAGCAUCUGCAAGAGUUUGAUGUCGUAUGCAAUAGUAUGAAACCCCCGGGAAUUACAUAAGAGCAGAUAAAAAUGAGGGCAUUCCCCUUUUCCUUGAAGGAUUCUGCAAAGGACUGGCUGUACUACCUGCCACCAGGUAGCAUCACCACGUGGGACCAAUUGAAGAAAAAAUUUUUAGAUAAAUAUUUCCCUGCGUCUAUAGCUGCAAACCUAAGGAAAGAAAUUUGCAGGAUCAAGUAGCAUCCAGGGGAGUCACUCUAUGAGUAUUGGGAACGGUUCAAGAACUUGUUGCACAAGUAUCCCCAGCACCAGAUAAGUGAGCAGUUGCUCAUUCAGUAUUUUUAUGAGGGGCUCCUUUUCAGAGAUAGGAGCAUAAUUGAUACUGCAAGUGGAGGGGCACUGGUGAACAAAACCCCUCGGGAAGCAAGGGAGCUAAUAGAAGGGAUGACAGAGAAUUCAUAACAGUUCGGUACGAGGGAGGAUGUCCCAGUACGCAAGGUGAAUGAGGUUGAGACAUCCUCUAUCCAGCAGCAGCUAACUGAGUUGACCUCGUUUGUUAGGCAACUGGCUGUGGGAAAUGCAUCACAAGCCAGGGUAUGUGGGAUUUGCACUGGUAUGGGACACUCUGCAGAGAUGUGCCCAAUGAUUCAGGAAGAAACUGCACAACAGGUGAACAUGACUGGUCACGCGCCCACGCCAAGAAGGGCCUAUGACCCGUACUCGAAUACGUACAAUCCCGGCUGGAAGGACCACCCAAAUCUCAGUUAUGGAAGAAAUAGGCAGCCCAACUAUGCACCGAACAGGCAGUCUAAUUUCGUGUCAAAUAAUCAACCAGGGUACCAGCAGCAAUAUCAACCCCGACCACCUCCGCCCCCGAGCUCUGGUCCAUCUUUGGAGGAGAUGAUGAAACAAAUGAUGGCAACCAUGACGCAAAAUCAGCAAAGGACGGAGGCAACCAUGACGCAAAAUCAGCAAAGGACGGAGGCAACCAUUAUGCAAAAUUAGCAAAGGACGGACUCUAAAAUGCAGGACAUAAGGAAUCAGAUAAGUCAAAUGGCUACAACAAUCAACCGUUUGGAUUCCCAGAACCAAGGUAAAUUGCCAUCUCAGCCUGAAUUAAAUCCGAAGAACGUGAGCGCAAUGACCCUAAGGAGCGGGAAGGAAAUUCAGGGGCCUGAAUCUGUGAUCUCUAAGGACAAGGAUGAGAAAAAGAUUGAAAAUGAGCUUGAGAGGGAGGACAGCAAUGGUGCAGAUCCAAAGGUACUUCCAAACCCAAUAAUUACAGUUAAAACUAACCUACCUCCUUUUCCUAGCAGGUUGGAAAAAUCGAAAAAACAGGAUAAGAAGAAGGAGAUUUUGGAGGUAUUUCGCAAGGUGGAGAUAAAUAUCCCCCUCUUAGACGCCAUCAAACAAGUACCAAAAUAUGCCAAGUUCUUAAGGGACUUGUGUGUCAACCGAAGGCGAUUCAGGAGAGAUGAAAGGAUCAUUGUUGGGGAGAAUGUGUCAGCGGUCCUGCAGAGGAAGCUUCCACCCAAGUGCGGGGACCCAAGUAUGUUUACUAUUCCCUGUAGAAUAGGCAACACUGUGAUUAGAAGGGCCAUGUUGGAUCUAGAAGCAUCAAUUAAUGUCAUGCCUAAAUCUAUCUAUGCUUCUCUAAAACUAGAUCCAUUAAAAGAAACUGGAAUAAUCAUUCAAUUGGCUGACCGAACUAAUGCAUACCCUGAUGGGUUGGUUGAAGAUGUGUUGGUAAAAGUUAAUGAUUUGGUGUUUCCAAUUGAUUUUUAUGUACUUGAUAUGGAUGAUGAUCACUCCCCUGAUCCCUCACCUUUGUUAUUGGGUAGACCCUUUAUGAGCACAGCACAAACAAAAAUUGAUGUUAAUAAGGGUAUCUUGUCCAUGGAAUUUGAUGGAGAAAUUGUGCAUUUCAAUAUUUUUGAUACUAUGAAAUAUCCCUCGAACUCCAAUUUUAGCUCUGUUUUUUCUGUGAGUGUUAUUGACCAUGCGGUGCAGGAAAUGUUUGAAACUGUUGGCAGGGAUGAAUUGAAAGUUGUUUUAACGAAGCAUCUCGAGUUGGAGACAACUCCUGAGGUGGAGUGGAGUGAAUAUUUAAAAUGCACGAUAGGAGCACUACACUCAUUGCCAACCUCCACAAAAAGGUACGACGUUUCACAUAUAUUCAUUCCCGAACCUCACCAGAGGGUAUUGCCAUCGGUGGUGCAGGCGCCUGUUUUGGAGUUGAAAUCCUUACCAGAGCACCUGAAGUAUGCAUAUUUGGGUGACAAUGAGACACUCCCGGUGAUUAUCUCAUCGGCACUGUCAAAAACCCAGGAGAAAAAACUGAUCCGGGUCCUUAGAGAGCAUAAAGAGGCGAUAGGUUGGACAAUCGCAGACAUUAAGGGGAUCAGCCCGGCCAUCUGUAUGCACCGGAUUAGACUGGAAGAGGAUGCUAAACUUGUUCGGCAGGCUCAAAGGAGGCUCAACCCCCUCAUGAUGGAAGUUGUAAAAAAGGAGAUUUUGAAAUUGUUAGAUGUGGGGAUUAUUUUUGCAAUAUCAGAUAGCCCUUGGGUGAGUCCGGUCCAGGUAGUCCCAAAGAAGGCAGGAGUGACGGUGGAAUCUAACCAAACAGGUGAACUCGUGCCAGUGCGCAAACCCACUGGAUGGAGGCAGUGUAUUGACUACCGUAGGCUGAACGCUGUCACAAAAAAGGACCAUUUCCCUCUUCCUUUCAUUGACCAAAUGGUUGAACGUUUGGCUUGUAGAGCUUACUAUUGCUUUUUGGAUGGAUUUUCAGGAUACUUUCAGAUAGCAAUUGCCCCAGAGGAUCAAGAGAAGACAACUUUCACGUGUCCGUUCGGGACUUUUGCCUAUAAACGAAUGUCAUUUGGGUUAUGCAAUGCACCUGCAACUUUCCAAAGAUGUAUGGUAAGCAUCUUUUCUGAGUAUGUUGAGAAAAUAAUUGAGGUUUUCAUGGAUGAUUUCAGUGUGUAUGGUGAUAGUUUUGAUACGUAUUUAGAUAACCUGAAAUUGAUCCUGAUAAGGUGUAUAGAGACUAAUCUCGUGCUUAAUUGGAAAAAAUGUCAUUUUAUGGUUGAGUACGGGAUAGUUCUGGGUCAUAUUGUAUCGUUUAAGGGCAUUGAAGUUGACAAGGCUAAAAUAGACAUUAUAUCGGCAUUACCUUACCCCGCAAAUGUGCGGGAGGUGCGUUCUUUUCUUGGACAUGCAGGUUUUUACCGAAGGUUCAUCAAGAAUUUUUAAAAAAUUGGAGCCCCAUUGUUCCAACUCUUACAAAAAGAUGUGACCUUUGAGUUCGAUGACAAGUGUGAAAAUGCCUUUAACAAGUUGAAAGAGUUACUGACCUCAUCCCCGAUCAUCCAACCCCCCGAUUGGGGUUUGCCAUUUGAGAUCAUGUGCGAUGCCAGUGAUCAUGCUGUAGGGGCUGUAUUGGGGCAGCGAGUAGGAAAGGCAACUCACAUCAUCUAUUAUGCAUCCCGCGCCCUGAAUGGGGCCCAGUUGAAUUACUCCACCACUGAGAAGGAGUUUCUUGCAGUUAUUUUUGCUUUAGAAAAAUUCAAGUCAUAUUUGUUAGGUACUAAAGUGAUUGUAUUUUUUGAUCAUGCAGCAUUGAGGUACCUGAUGACUAAGAAUCACAUCAUCUAUUAUGCAUCCCGCGCCCUGAAUGGGGCCCAGUUGAAUUACUCCACCACUGAGAAGGAGUUUCUUGCAGUUAUUUUUGCUUUAGAAAAAUUCAAGUCAUAUUUGUUAGGUACUAAAGUGAUUGUAUUUUUUGAUCAUGCAGCAUUGAGGUACCUGAUGACUAAGAAAGAUGCAAAAUCGAGGCUCAUACGGUGGAUAUUGCUCAUACAGAAAUUUGACCUGGAGAUAAGGGAUAAAAGAGGCUCAGAGAAUUUAGUAGCCGACCAUUUGAGUCGUAUAUCCGUUGGGGAGGAUAAUGAACCAUUGAAGGAUGCAUUCCCUGAGGAGCAUUUAUUUUCUUUAAAUUCUCAAAUGCCUUGGUAUGCCGAUCUGGUCAAUUAUUUGGUAACUGGUAAUUUUCCUGCAAGUUGGCCAAAAUCGAAGAGAGAUAAAAUGAAAAGCGACGCCAAAUAUUUUAUUUGGGAUGACCCGUACUUAUGGAAGAGAUGUGCAGAUCAAGUGAUGAGGAGAUGUGUAAGUGAAAUGGAAUUUCAAUCGAUUUUAGUUUUUUGUCAUACUUUUGCAUGUGGGGGUCAUUUUGGACCUAAGAGAACUGCUCAUAAGGUUUUAGAAAGUGAAUUUUAUUGGCUUUCAUUGUUUAAGGAUGCCUAUGUGUUUUGUAAGUCAUGUGAUCGCUGUCAACGGGUAGGUAAUAUAGCCCGUAGAGAUCAUAUGCCCCAAGUCCCGUUGAUUUUUGUUGAAAUUUUUGAUGUUUGGGGUAUAGAUUUCAUGGGGCCUUUUCCUACUUCAUUUGGUUUUAUAUAUAUUUUGUUGGCAGUUGAUUAUGUGUCUAAAUGGGUGGAGGCCAAGGCCACUCGGACUAAUGACUCGAAAGUAGUUGUAGAUUUUAUCAGGUCUAAUAUUUUUGUGCGAUUUGGAAUGCCAAGAGUUAUUGUCAGUGAUAGGGGAACGCAUUUCUGCAACAAAACCAUAACUGCGUUAUUUCGCAAGUAUGGUGUACUCCACAGGGUCUCAACGUUGUACCACCCCCAGACCAAUGGUCAAGCGGAGGUAUCGAAUAGGGAGAUUAAGUCCAUUUUGGAGAAAAUGGUGCGCUCCGAUAGGAAAAAUUGGAGUCAACGGUUGGAGGACGCGCUCUGGGCCUACCGCACUGCAUACAAGACUCCUAUAGGGAUGUCACCGUACAAGUUGGUGUUUGGGAAGCCGUGUCACCUUCCAGUGGAGUUCAAGCACAAAGCCUUUUGGGCGAUAAAGCAAUGCAACAUGAACUUAGAGGAAGCCGGUGCCCAACGAAAGUUGGAUUUGCAAGAAUUGGAGGAGAUCCGGAACGAAGCCUACGAAAAUGCAUUAAUUUAUAAGGAGAGAAGCCAGACAUUUCAUGAUCAACAAAUUUCAAGAAAAACCUUUGAAAUUGGUCAGAAGGUCCUCCUGUACCAAUCCAGACUCAAGUUAUUCCCAGGUAAGCUACGUUCCCGUUGGAUUGGACCUUUUGUUUUGACUCACGUUUUUCCCUAUGGCGCAGUUGAAAUCCGGAGUGCUAAGACAGACAACAAGUUUGUGGUGAAUGGACACUGUCUCAAACAUUAUUACGAAGGUUUUUUGAGGGGAGAGGUGGAGACAAUAAGUCUAGACGCACCACCGUGUCCUAAUCAGUGACACUUAACCAUGUCUAGCCAAAGACAUUAAAGAAAGGCGCUCAUUGGGAGGCAACCCAAUUGUUUCUUUUAAUUGUUUGUUUUGAUUUCUUGUGGUAGUUUAAAUAUGUUUUCCUUAAAUUUGAUUGGUUUCGGGUUUGAAAUUUUCGUUUUUGCUGAUUUGUAGGUGUUCUUCUGUCAUGACGCGCCCGCGCGAUGACGUGGGGAGCGCUCACGGUCAGAGAGUUCUCCUGCUCUCAUGACACGCUCGCAUCAUGACGCCCAGGAAGCUCAGGGUCAGCAAGCUCUCUUGCUCUCAUGACGUGCUCGCGUCACGUUCGCGGGAAAGGUAAGGAUUAAAAAAAAAAAAAUUCUUCUUAUCACCAUAGCUUUAGUUUCCAAAAAUUCAAAAAGGAGAAAUUUUUUUUUUAAAAAAAAAGAAAAAAAAAGAAAAAUUUAAUUUCCGUACAAAAAUUUUUUUUUUCUCUGUGGCUUAAAUGGAGCCUAAAGACAAGAAAAAAAAAGCCAAAACAGUUUUUUUUUUCUUUUCCUUCUUUUCUUUUCUUUCUUUCCUUUCUUUUUCUUUCUUUCUUCUUCUUUCUUUCUUCUCCUCUGUUUUGCUCUGUCCGUCGCCCGUGCCCACCUCCAUCUCCGGCUCCACGCCGCCAACCAGCAGAUCUCCACUUCACACGUCACUUGCGCGCCGCCGCUGCUCAGAACAUCUCCCUUUUUCAGCAGCGAUCCACUUCGCAGCGCCGCUGCUGCGCGCCAGCGCUGCUCUGUGCGAGCUCUCCCUGAGCCAAACACCCAAGCGCGCGGCCUAUGCCACGCCGCUACGCGCCACCGCACCCCUCCCAACUCUACCGCGCGGACUCGCCGCCGCUCUGCUCCCACCGCACGCCAGAUUGCUCCUAUUCCGGCUCCAGCUCGGUCUCCACAGGUGCGUAACACGCCUCGCCUGUGUACGCCGCCGCUGCUCACUGCUUGCGUCUCACUUGCGCGCUGCCGACUCUCCCUCCGCUACUGCCGGCCGAUUGCUCUCUCUCUGCGCGCGACCCUAUCAGACCGCCUCGCCUCUGCAAGCCGCCAGCUCUCUCACCCCACUCGCCCCUUUUACGGUGGAGGUAUUUGAGACUUGCUCACCAAUUUCUUCGUACUAAUUAAGCUGUCUGGGUUGGUAGACAAUUGUUAUUGUUGGCCGUGGGAGCUAUCCUUUGGACUAUUUAUUGUGUUUUUGUUUGGAUUUGAGUUCUUUUGUUUUGGCUUGAUGGAUGAUUGCCCGUUCCUUUGCUCUUGGGUUGUCUGAUUAGCAUUUUUCAUUGCUAUUGAUGGUGCGUUAGCACACUGUUGAGCGUCAUCUACUUGUGGAAUCGAACCAUUGCUGUGUUUAGAGUUUUCAUUAGUGUGGGUCGGUCAUUGGGAUUGUUUCAUCUACUCUAUUGUUGACAGCCGGGGGCUUAUUGCUUGAAUUGUUGGGACUGAGGUGGCGCGAUUUCUGGGUUGUUUGUUGAAUUGGAAAGGCAUUGUGACCCAUGCAUUGUUUCUUGAAGUUGGUUAACUAAUUUUGGAUUACUGGGUGUAUUUGGUCUCUUGAUCUCACUUGCAUUCUGUUUUCAUUUCAAUUGAGUCGUUUACUGCCUUUGUUGGACCAUCUUAUUGAAUAACCUCUGCCAGUUGCUAGUUGUGGUUAUCAGUUAGGCUUCCUGUAGUUCCUGAGUAUCAUUGUUGCUUUGUUGGGAAACUGGUAUAAAUUGUGGGUGACUCUAUUGUCCAUUUGCUGGCUGAUUAACUCGGUAUUUGCUGGUUACACUGGGCGUUGGACAUUCGGCAUCUUGUUGUUCCUGCUGACUGUUGGGGAAUAUGGUGAGACCAAAAUCAUCCUCUAGGUCUAGAGCCCCUCGUUCUCAACCCCCUCCUCAAGCCUCCAUUCCUGUGAAUACACCUACCAACCUACCUUCCUCUUCUGGUGCUCGAACCCGUUUGGGUAGGGGUAGGGGUGCUCAAGUGGAUACCCCAACUCACUUCGGAGGGCACCUAACAUUCACUAGACCCGCCGAUCAGCAGAGAUAUGCUAAGGUCUGUGAGCGGCGUAUUAUACCUUGUAAAACUUGGGAAAAAUUAACCGUGAUGGGCCUAGGCAUACGAGAGGAGGUCGAGCAGAUGUUUACAGCUAUCGGGUGGCGCCCAUAUCUAGAUAUCUUAUGCCCCGCCUUUGUCAAGCUGACUCGGGAGUUUUAUUCUACCUUUGAAUUUGAGUUGCCCACGAGGUUCACCGUUGAAACGCCCAAUGUCAUCCGUUUUCGUCUGAUGGGUCGGGAAUUUAAUUUUUCAAUUACCCAAUUUAAUUUGGCAUUUGGAUUCAUUACUCGAGAGUAUGCUGAGACUAGGGAGUAUGGUGAGAGUGCCUGCGAUUACAUCGAGCCUUUUCUCUCCUGCUACCGCGCUGUGUGGGAAGACAUGUCUACCGAUCGGCACCGAUACGACCCUUCUCGGUCUAGGGGCUCCUUUUGUAAGGACCCUAGCGCCCGAUACGUCCAUCGAUUCUUAGCCUACAGUUAAAUAAUCGGAAUUGCCUUUAUUUCAAUGAUCAAUUAGGUGAACCAUUGCUGAAGUUAUUUCUUGGCUAGAUCUUUAGUUAAUAUUAUCUUGAUUUUAGUGAAGUGCCAUUUGACUUUUAGUUACCUACUUUAUUUUAUUUUUAAUUGUUUCCUUGUUUUAAUUGAUUUAGGUCUUUAAUUAUUGUUAUUCUAAAUUCAGUGAAUUGUGGUUUAAUUUCUAGUUAGUUAUUUAUUUUUAUUUUCUUAUUUGAAUUUAUUUGAUUGCUGUCGUUCCUACAAAAUCACCCCAUGUGUUACUUUGGAUUUCUUAAGAAACAAAUAUAUCCAGUCCCUGAGGAUACGAGCCUACUUGCCCUGUCUACAAAUUCAUAAUUAUUUGUAAAAGAAAUAACCAUCCCAUUCGGGUAUAUCGGAUUAAGCAAACUCUUCGGGAACAGGGAGAAUCAAGUAACCCAUUGCACACCUAGAGUCCCUGCUCCAGUACUUGGAAUUGGGUCUUGGUCAUUUUAACUGGCAAUUAGGUUUAGUUCAUCAAUGUCAUUCAAAAAAAAAAAAAAAAACCAGAACAACAAUUGUUUUGGGAAGCAAAUUAUUGGUAAUGACAAAAAAAUUAGCUAAUAUUGUACCAGUUGAGGUCCUUCAAGAUAGUAUUUGUUUGCAGGGAAAAGUGUGGAAAAGUGCAAGAAAGUUCUUUUUGGUUGGCAGGAAUAUUAUUAUUAUUAUUUGCAUUUUCUGGCACUUUUGUGCAUUUUGUAUCUUGUAAAAUUUAUGAAUUUUGAAGAAAAAUAGUUAAUUAAAACUUUUCUUCUCUUUACCUUCUUGUACAACUUUCCUUGUUUGAAACCCAAUUGAUGAUGAGCUCCAGAUCCUCAUUUCCAUAAUUUUUCUGUGCUUCUUCAAUUUCCAAUACUAAAGAUGUGACACGAUCUCUGCAAUGGUCGAUCUCAAUCGUUUCAAGAGUUGAUAUACGCCCUAAACAAGAAGGGACCAUUUUCAAUCCAGUAACGUAGUCGAGUUUUAAUCGCUGAAGACACGGAAAAUAAUCAUCACUAUCAGGGUCUGUCUCUGUCCACUCCACAAGCUUUAGAUCAGACAUAAUCAAGACCCUAAGCUUAGAGAAUCCUCCUUCCAUCAGCUCCCAUCUUUCGCCAUCCAAUGAAUUACUGUUAUGACCUGAAUUCAUGGGAAGCUAUUAAACUAACUACCAGAAAGAGUCAGCAGAGGAGGUAGCAUGAGAAAUGGGAGCACAGGGGAAGAAUCACGUGACAAAGCCUGGUCCUAACAGAAUGAAGAGUUUUGGCGGGAAAGUUAGUUAAUUGCUAGCAAUCUGGUAAUUGAAAGAACACUAGGAUUUGUAUAAGUAUUACAUCUGCAAUUGUAAUAAUCAUCAGAUUCAUUGUUGCUUAAUUCUCUUCUCAAUAAUAUCUCAGUCUCUCUCAUUAUCUUUUCCCACCUCCCUCUGAAAUUCUUCUCCUUUCUCCCUCCUGAUUUCUCUUCUUCUAUCUUCCCUACUGAUAUAAUUCAGUUUCUCGACUCCAAUCCUCAACAGUGGUAUCAGAGCUUGCGGUCCUCGGAUUGCAAGUUCUUCCACAAUCCAUAAUGGCAGAAGGUACACGCAUGAAAAGCUUCGAAGAGCAGCUUAGGAAACAGGAUGCCAGGAUUCAAGCGGUUCUCGAUUCCAUGAUAGCAGACAAGCAGGUCAUGGAGGAAAAGUUGGAAGUUAAUCAAAGGGAGAUGCGGUCCUUACUGGAAGCAAAUAGCGCAGAACUGAAGAACUUUGUGAGUAGCCAGAUCAGCUCGAUCUUGAGAAGUUUGCAGGGGGACAAAGGCAUUUUGGGAAAUCCUAAUGGUUCUGCAGAAAGGACUCCUAACAAUCGAAAUGCGGGAAAUUCGAAUACCAGGCAUGGUGAAUUUGGCAAUUCCUCUAGAGGAGAGGGGCAACACUGGCCCAUGGGGGUCCCCAGGUUGGAUUUCCCCAGAUUUGAUGGCCACAGUCCUAAGGAGUGGGUCAGGAAGUGUGAGAAAUUUUUCCAACUAUUUCGCACUACUGAGGAGCAGCAGAUGGACCUUGUGGAACUGCACUUAGAAGGAAAGGCGGAUCUCUGGUAUCAGAAUUUCAAAAAAGAUAGGGGAAUAGUCCAAUGGAAGGAUUUUGGAUCAGAAAUAUGUAGGAGGUUCAGCACUGUGGGAGAGGCUGAUGCAGUGGAAGAGUUUAGCAAACUCAAUCAAACCUCCACUGUUUUGGCUUAUCAGGAGAAGUUUGAGGAGUUGAGGUCUAUUGUAAUGAUCCAGAUGCCAGAACUGACUGAAUCCUACUACAUUUCUAGUUUCUUAAGUGGACUGAAGGGGGAAAUUAAAUCUGCCGUGAAGAUGCACAGGCCAGACAGUCUACAGUCUGCCUUUGAGAUGGCCAGAUGGCAGGAACAUCACUUGGAUCUGGUUCACAAGUCCAGUAGGCCUAUACUCAGAAAUACCAUGCACUCAACCUCAUUUGGAAUUAACAAAGGAGGAAAUGGAGCUCAGGAUCCGGGAGCAAGACAAGCGGGAACAUCACCAACAGAAUUCAGUAGGAAGUCUAAUUCACAGCAAGUUUUCAAGAAAAUCUCCCCCACUGAAUUCCAGUACAGGAAGGAUCACAACCUAUGUUUCAGGUGUGGAGAAAGAUUUAGUCCAGGUCACAAUUGCAAAAGCAAGGGGAUCCACAUGAUGAUAGUAGGAGAGGAGGAGAAGGGUGAGGAAAAUCACACAGCAGAAGAGGAGGAGGUUAUUGAAUACAUGGGAACUCAGCAAGAGCAUGAGGUGAUGCUAACCUUGCAUGCACUGUCAGGGGAAUUAUCCUCAAGCAUUAUCAAAAUGCAAGGGGAAUAUAUGAACCAGCACUUGACAAUCCUGCUAGAUGGGGGAAGUACUAAUUGCUUUAUCAGGAGGAGUGUGGCUCAGCAAUUUCCAGAAAGGGUACAGAACCACAGGCCCUUCAAGGUCAAGAUAGCUGAUGGCAAGGAGUUGACAUGUGACCAGUGGAUUCCAGGGAUGCAGUGGAGCAUGCAGGGCCACAGAUUUGCACACGAUGUGUUUGUAUUGGACCUGGAGCCUUAUGACUUGAUCCUUGGAGUUGAUUGGAUGAAGUCCUAUAGUCCUAUUACUUUUGAUUUCAAGAAGCUGAAUCUGUCUUUUGAAAAAGGAGGGGAGCAAGUGGUGCUAAAUGGAGACUCCAACAAUGCAAACGUAAGGAUGCAGCAAGGUCCCUCAGCUCACAAGUAUGUCAAACACAAGAUCAGGAAGGCAUUGCAGCAAGCAUGUAUGGUGAAGAUUCACAACUCACAGGUAAUUUCUGAACCAGAUUCUCUUACUAAGUUGUUGGCUAAGUAUGAUGAUGUCUUUGCAGAACCAAACACCCUUCCCCCAAAUAGAUGCCAUGAUCACCAAAUUCCCCUCAAACCAGAUGCCCAACCAUUCAAAAUUCCUCCCUACAGAUACCCUCAUGUACAAAAAAAUGAGAUUGACAGACAGGUGAAAGAUAUGUUGAACUCUGGCCUUAUACAAGAUAGCCAUAGCCCCUUUGCAUCACCUGCUCUUUUAGUAAAAAAGAAAGAUGGGAGCUGGAGGCUUUGUAUUGACUAUAGGCAACUGAACAACCUCACUAUUAAAGAUAAAUUUCCUAUACCUAUUAUAGAUGAUUUAUUGGAUGAACUAUAUGGAGCCAAGAUUUUUUCUAAAAUUGAUCUGAGAUCGGGCUAUCACCAAAUCAGGAUGAAUCCUGAUGACAUCCAUAAAACUGCUUUUAGGACUCAUUCUGGUCUAUAUGAAUUCUUUGUCAUGCCAUUUGGUCUAACAAACGCCCCAGCCACCUUUCAAGCACUAAUGAACUCUGUCUUUGAACCUUAUAUAAGGAAAUUUGUUCUUGUGUUCUUUGAUGACAUUUUAAUCUAUAGUCCAGACUCCAAGAGUCACCUACACCACUUAUCCAUAGUUUUGGUAACCCUGAGACAACACUCUUUGUUUGCAAAGAUAUCUAAGUGCUCUUUUGGUCAAGACCAAGUAGAGUAUCUGGGACACAUAAUUACUAGUGCAGGGGUGAAAACUGAUCCAUCCAAGGUGGAAGCUAUGCUGUCCUGGCCAACGCCCUCCUGUGUAAAGGCUCUCAGAGGAUUCUUGGGCUUGACAGGUUACUAUAGGAGGUUUGUUAAGGGGUAUGGGGAGAUUGCUAAGCCUCUUACUGAACUGCUAAAAAGGGAUCAAUUUGCAUGGAGUACUGCUGCAGAAACUGCAUUCCAACAAUUGAAGCUGGCAAUGAGUGCAGCACCAGUGUUGGCAUUACCUGACUUCUCAAAGCCAUUCCUGCUGGAAACUGAUGCCAGUCAGAAAGCCAUUGGUGCUGUUCUAAUGCAACAGGGGAGGCCAAUAGCUUACUACAGCCAAGUACUGGGACAGAAUAAUCAAGCCAGGUCUACCUAUGAGAAGGAACUCUUAUCACUCAUCACUGCAGUUCACAAGUGGAAACACUACUUGAUGGGACAUCAUUUCAUUAUCAAAACUGAUCAUGAGAGUCUCAAAUACUUGUUGGAUCAGAAAAUUAACACCUCUCUCCAACAAAAAUGGCUGGUUAAACUUAUGGGAAUGGAUUAUGAGAUUCAAUACAAAAAAGGGAAGGAAAAUGUAGUUGCUGAUGCCUUGUCAAGGAGGGGUGACUUGGAGAAUACAGCAGAAACAUCUGUGCAUACUAUCACUGCCAUCAAGCCUCAGUGGUUGACCAUGGUAGCUGAGAGCUACAACAGUGAUGAGAUGGCCAAGGAGGUUCUGCUGAAGUUAGCUAUGGGAGCUGACGCAUUACCAGAUUACUCCUAUAACCAGGGAAUUCUAAGGUUCAAAGGAAGGGUGUGGAUAGGAGCGGAUUCUGAAUUAAGACAAAGGCUGGUUUCUUGUUUUCAUGAUUCUAGUCUUGGGGGACAUUCUGGGAAUCUUGGUACUUAUCAGAGGAUUAAGAGUUAUCUAUACUGGCCUGGAAUGAAGAAGGAAGUGGAGCAAUAUGUACAGAGCUGUGAGGUCUGCAAAAGGAGCAAAAAUGAAAAUUGCCCCUAUCCAGGUUUGCUGCAGCCACUGGCCAUACCUGACCAAGCUUGGCAACAAAUUUCUAUGGAUUUCAUAGAGGGAUUACCCAAGUCCUUUGGUUGUAAUGUGAUCUACGUGGUGGUGGACAGAUUCACUAAAUACGCCCAUUUUAUCCCAAUGACCUCUCACUAUACUGCUAAAAGUGUCGCAGAGGCAUUCUUUGAUCAGAUUUUUAGGUUUCAUGGCCUACCAACGCACAUUGUCUCUGAUAGGGACAAGGCUUUUACUAGCUUGUUCUGGCAAGAGCUCUUCAAAAUGCUAGGCACAGAAUUAAAUCUGUCAUCUGCAUAUCAUCCUCAGUCUGAUGGACAGACUGAGAGGGUGAAUAGGUGUGUGGAAAAUUACCUGAGAAGUAUGUGUAUGUAUCAACCAGGGAAAUGGAGGAAAUGGCUACCUGCUGCAGAGUGGUGGUACAACACUAACCACCAUAAUAGCUUACAAAUGUCUCCCUUUCAGGCCUUGUAUGGUUACAAGCCUACUCAGAUGAACCUGAGGCCUGAUAGCACACUAGUAGCUGCAGUGGAGGAUUGGGCACAAGAGCGAGUGGGCUGGAACUCCUUGCUCAAGGAGAAUCUGUUGAAGGCUCAGAACAGGAUGAAACAAAUGGCAGAUAAAGGGAGGAGUGACAGGGAAUUUGAAGUAGGAGAAUGGGCUUAUUUGAAGCUUCAGCCUUACAGACAAACUUCUGUAGCUGUAAGAAGGAACAUAAAACUGGCGGCUAAGUAUUAUGGGCCAUAUCAAGUAGAGCAAAAGUUGGGGACUGUAGCUUACAGGUUGAAGUUACCAGCAGGAUCAACCAUACAUCCUGUUUUCCAUGUCUCCUUACUCAAGAAGUCACCUAAGGGGGCUCCUCUUAGCACUGCCUUGCCUACCCUAAAUGAUGAUGGAGAGUUUGGUGUUGCUCCCUCAGCAGUUAUAGACCAGAGGACAAUCUUUAGAAAAGGGCAAGUGGUCGAACAGGUGUUGGUGCAAUGGGAAAACAUGGAACCUGAGGAAGCCACCUGGGAAGAUUGGACAUUCAUUCAUGCUCAAUUCCCUACCUUCCAAUUUAAUCAAUCCUAGAGACUAGGAUUAUUUUUAGGGGGAGGCAUUGUUAUGACCUGAAUUCAUGGGAAGCUAUUAAACUAACUACCAGAAAGAGUCAGCAGAGGAGGUAGCAUGAGAAAUGGGAGCACAGGGGAAGAAUCACGUGACAAAGCCUGGUCCUAACAGAAUGAAGAGUUUUGGCGGGAAAGUUAGUUAAUUGCUAGCAAUCUGGUAAUUGAAAGAACACUAGGAUUUGUAUAAGUAUUACAUCUGCAAUUGUAAUAAUCAUCAGAUUCAUUGUUGCUUAAUUCUCUUCUCAAUAAUAUCUCAGUCUCUCUCAUUAUCUUUUCCCACCUCCCUCUGAAAUUCUUCUCCUUUCUCCCUCCUGAUUUCUCUUCUUCUAUCUUCCCUACUGAUAUAAUUCAGUUUCUCGACUCCAAUCCUCAACAAUUACAUCUUAAUUUGAGGACCUCAAGAUUGGGUAGUUGUUCAAUCAGUGGCAUUUUACUACAGGGAAGACACAGACGGGCAAGACACAACUUUUUCAAAUUCAUGGGAAAAGAAAGCUCAACAUGAUCCAGCUGAUUUGGUAAGAAGGAGCCCAGCUCCAAGGUGAGUGAUUCUAGGCAUUCUAGUCGACUCAUGUUGCAGCAUAGUCUAUCUAGUUCCCGAUCAUUGAAAACUUUUAGUUGGCGAAUGUUGGGAAUCCUUUCCAAUAUGCUCUCUGCUUCUUGAUCAAGAUAAAGACACAGACUGGAGAGUGUGUCCAAAUUGGGUAAAGUGGAGUGGUUUUCAAAAACGUUGUCAUUGGAAGCAAAAGGAAGAACAACAGAGCCCCCGCUAACAUGUACGUGCCUCAACUCCUUCAUGUUCCAAACGCUUUUUGGCAAAAAAACCAUCUCACAAGAUCUUAGACGAAAGGUUUCUAAAUGUGAGAGCUUGGCGAUAGACGAUGGAAUGGAUCUCAUCCACAAAGCUGUAAGGGCUAAAUACCUCAAAAAAAGAAGUGAUUCGACUUCAGUUGGAAGCUUUGUCAGACUUAGGUAAAUGCGCUCUAAAUUCAGAACUUUAAGAUGUUUGUAGAUGCAAAAAAGGAAGGAAACGUUAACCAACUGAAAAUCAUAUCCUUGAAUCCUAUCAAAGAAUAGCAGAGUACCUAAAUGUGGACAAAAUAGCCUUGACCUUAUAAAAUCUUCCCCACUGGAGCAAAUGGACAACCGAGGUGGGGUGGGAGGCUCAUCAAAGGUAGAAAGCUCAUCAUAUCCAUGCAGGACCUGAAGAAAAUUCUUUUCUUUUGCCUCGGUCUUACAGAACUCAAAUAUCAAAUCGUGAAUGUAACAAGUUUUGACUCCACCAAUGGAUCUGCUUUUACUUGCCAUAACUAAAUUGCGACCAAUCAGGUCCAUCAGAUAUUCUUCUGCAAUGUCCUCUGAUCUCUUGCCUUCAAUUUUUUCUACAAAACCUUCUGCAACCCAUAGACAUAUCAAAUCUUUUGCAUAAAUUAUUUCAUCUUCUCGAAAUGCAGCAAAGUACAACAGGCAAGCCUUCAAGUGAUAUGGUAAAUGCUCGUAACUGAGCUCCAAUGACUUUUUGCACUGGUCUGCACUAGACACCAUGGUUGAAGUUAAACUUCUAGCAAAAUCUUCCCAAACCAAAAUAUCAUGCUCUAUAGUUGCUAGGACUCCAGCUACAACAACAACUGCAAGUGGCAAUCCCGUACACUUUUUGGCAAUCUCCAUCCCAAUUCCACGCAAUACUUGAGGACAAUCUUCUUUUCCAAACACCUUCUUUUGCAAUAAUUCAAAACAUUCUUUCUCAUGGAGUGGGCGAAGAUUGUGAGGUUCUCCAGCAUAUUGAACCUGUGAAGCCACAUUAGAAAAUCGACUCGUGAAAAGGAUUCUACUUCUCUUCUUGUCAUCGGGGAAUGAAAUUCUCAGCUCAUUCCAUACCUUAAUGUCCCAGACAUCAUCAAAAACAACAAGAUAGCUCUUCGUCUUCAGCCUUUGAUAGAGCUUUUGAAGCAAUUCAUGUUCAUUCAAGUUUUUAAGCUCUUCAUCCAUGCUAGACUGUUUUCCAUCAGAGCACAAAAUUUGCAUUAACAAGCUUUUCAUGUUAAAUGCUUGAGAAACAGUACACCAAAGACGAAUGUGGAAGUUAUAGAUAAUUGAACUAUCAUUGUAAACUUUUUUGGCUAAAGUUGUUUUACCAAGCCCAGCCAUUCCGACAAUGGGAACAAAUUCCAGCUGUUCUGAUCCGCUUCUAAGUCGUUCAAUUACUUUUUCUGCCUCAUCAUCAAGACCAACCAUGACUUCAUGGACUGUUGGUAUAUUUUCUUUAGAUGGCAUGUGCCUGGAAGGCUUGCAAACUUCUUGUACUCUUAAGCUAUGAGAGUAAUUAGGAAGACUAUCUAUAAUGCUUGGGCCACUGAUCUUAUCCUUAAAAUGCUUGAUAUGGGUGUUGGUAUUAGCCAGCAUAUCAUAACAAACAAGAGCAUCUUUGGAUUCUAAGCAGCUAACUUCUCCUUCUUUCACUUUGUUUAGAGAAGGGAAAAAAAUUAUAAUCCCUGCCUCACUAAGAAGAGCUCCAACUUUUUCAUUUUCUUCAUCCAUCUUCUCAUAAUGCUCCCUUAAUAUGCUCCUCAAGAAUCUCAGUCCUGCAUAGAGUGUUUGCAUUUUAUCUUUCAUAGAAUCCAUAAAGCUAGAGCUGCAGCAUAAUAGCUCCCAGAGACAACUUAGCAGAGAAUCAUUGAAGUUGAUCAAUAUCUGCUUAUCCAUCAUUGUACUCUGCGAAGAUUUUGAGGAUCUCGUACAUCCAAGAGCUUCCAUAUAAAUCUCAUAGAGUUGAAAAUCAACAGCUCUGAUCUUCCGUUGUUGUUUAUAUAUCUUGGAGUAGAUCCUACGAUUCGUCCACCUUUUCUCAGGAUCAUCAUCCGAAAAAGAGCACAUGUAAGAGAGGCGUGCUGCGUUCAAAGCCACCACCUCAAAGUGAGACAAUAGCAAGGCAGGAAUAUCUACAGUUCCUCGUAAUUUGGCAAAGGGAAUGAAGCUUUUCAAGAAUGUUAGCUUUACUUCAAGGGCUUGCAAUUCGGCACUCAAUGCAGCAGAAAGAGAAGAUUUAUUAACUUGGGAUUCCUUACGAAGAAAUGAAUCGGAAGGCAUCAAAUCCGCUAGAUUUUGUAGAAUGAGGUCUAUGAAUUCCAUUAAUUCAUCAUCUCUCCUGCAAGAAUUUGACUGCAAUGACCUGCUGCUUACCAACAUAACGUACACUUGGAUGAUUUCUUGCUUAAAUGAUUUGAUCUGUUUUCGGAAUUUAGAGAUCAGUGGUUCGUCAAGAGUAUGUGACAUUUCUUCAGUUUCUGAUCUAAGGGAAAGAGAGUGAAUGUCCUCCUCAUAUUUGUGAACAGUAUCGUCAAUGCAAGAUAGGAAGGAUGGAAGACUCACCUUCUUAACAACAUUAUCAGAUUCCAAGUACAAAUCAUUGCUUUGGCUCCACUUUCUUGCACACACAAUAAAUGUUUUGAGGAAUUUCACGUCCCUGAUUGCAUCUGCAACAUCGGAAACAGCAACAUAAUGGCGUUUGUAGUUGUUCAUGAGCAACUCUAGAUCAAGUAAGACACGAUCGACGCAAGUGGAGGGCCUGGAGGCCAUCUCCAUCUCUCAUGCAGGGAUUUUCCUCAGUUUCACUGUCAAAUUUCAAGGGAAAAGCAAAUCUCACCUACUGCAGAGCUAGCAACUAUUUCUUUCCUGAAAAAUCUUUUUUGCCCCCUUUUCUGGUGGGAAGUUGAAGAAGAGAAAUGUGAUAAUAAAUUACUAUUCAACAGCGUACAAAUAAUCUGGAAGUCAUCUUGGUUUGAAUAAUGAUUUUUGUGAAUGGAUCCGCACCUAGACUUGCUUUUCUUUUUAAAAUAUUUUUUUUGGAUAAAUUAGUACUUUAAGUCCCUGUUAUUUAGUGCGUUUUCGUAUAAUCACCGUAUGGUAAAACGUACAUAACGCCCACGCUUUGUAAGUACAGUGUCAAAAUGAUGGGUAUCGUUCGUCCCUCCGUGAUGGAAUAAGCUAAAAUGUUAACAUUAUUCCUAUCAAAAGCCUAAAAUCUCACUUUUUCUCGCUAAAAAAUAAAAAGGAAAAAAGAUAUAUAUAAAUAUAGGGUAAAUUACACAUUUGUACCUUGUGGAUUAUUAUUGUUAAUUUUUUUAUUUUACAUAAUGCUUCUGUAUUUUGAAAAGUUAUACAUAAUCACUGGGGUUAACAAAUAAUCUCAGUCUUAAUGUUGGGAAUGCUUUUGACAUUUUAGUUAGUUUCAUUGUAGAGGAGCACGUUAAUUUAAUAUCAGGUAAAUUGUAUAUAAUCCCUCUAUGGUUUCGUCAAUUGUCAAAUAAUCCCCCUAAUAUUUCAAAAUAUUCACUUCAUCUUCUAUGGUUAUAUGUAAAGUAAAAACUUGAUAGAAAAUAUUAUAUAUAAUGCCAUUAAUUGAAAUACUAAUACUCCCCUUACUUAAAUACUAAAUCAAUUGAUGGCUUAACUCCUUGUAUAGAAGUAUAGGGAGAUUAUAUGGGUAAAUGAAAAAAUCAUAAGGGGAUAAAGUAGAUACUUAUACAAAUCAUUUAGGGGUUAUAUGGAGAUUAAGGUUUUAUCACGCAUGCUUUUAGAGCUCGUUUGGUAUAAAUGUUAUAACUGAUUGAACAUUUCGUCCAUUUUUCACUUUAGAUAAAUGCCAUGGGGAAUUAUGUGACUAUUUUGAAAUCUUGUGGGGGGGGUCAUCUUGCAUUAUAUAAAAUCACAGGAUGUUCUAAGUAAUUUAUCCUUUAAUAUUUUAGUCCAAAACAUGGGGAUAUAUUUAUAACAUUUAAAACUAUAGGAGAUUUAUGUAAAAAAGUGCAACCAUAUGAGGCCAAAUAAAUUUAACCAAGAUUUGUCCUUGUAAUCAGGAAAGAAUUUCUUGCAUAUUAGCCUAGUUACCCUUAGUUAAAGAGAGAGUGGGAAGAAAAGGACAAAACGGGCUAAAGAUAUAGGUGGCAAAUCAACCCAUUUUAUUAAAUUUAUCCAUACCCACCCAUGAAUAGAUGGGUAUGGAUUUUUUUAGUUUUUGCAUAUAGGUAUAAAUGUGUUACCCAAUAAUACCCAUUCAUAUGCAAAAUGGGUUACCCAAGAAUACUCAUUCAAUGAAUGGGUAUUAUUGGAUAACCAAUCAAACCCAAUUAAUCCAUUUAGAAUUAUUUUCCCCCAAAUCUCCUCUCUUCUCCCUCCCAAUUUUUUUUCUUCAGAUUUUUCAUUUUGUUAUGAUGUUAACUACUUUUGUUUCAUUAUUAUCUUUAUUUGUUGAUUUUAUUUUAUCAGUUUAUUUUCUCUUAAUUUGUUAACUUACUCAUUUUUUAGCAUUACCAAUUUAUGAUAAGUUUUAGCCUCUUUUCCUACAUUUCCAAAAUGAAAUUUUAAAUUUACAUUAUGAAAAAAAUAUUAGGGGUUCAAAAUUUUUGGAUUAAAUUUUUAUGUUAAUUUUUAUAGUACUUAAUUUAAAUUUUUAUAUUCUUAUUAUUCAAUUAUUAAAUAGUAUUUAAUUUUGCAACAUAGAGUACGGAUAGGAAAAAAUUGAUAAUUAGACUUAUUGAACAUUAUAAGUAAAUUUUUAAAACUAAUGAUGGGUGCAAAGAGUGGUAUAAAUUAAUAACUUAGUUUGCAAAAAUGAAUUUAAAUGAGUUUACAAAAAGUUAAAAUAAAUGGAUUAUAAAUGGGUAAUUGGGUUACCUAAUUCAUUUUUUGACUUACCAAUUUGUACCCAUCUAAUUAAUUGGGUUUAAAUGGGUUGACUCACUUAUACCCAUUACCCAUUUUACCCAAUUCAAACCCGUCCAAGUCACUCAUUUUGACACCUCUAGCUAAAGAAAGAGUUCAAGUUAAGUAGAAACUUCCAACAUCACAGAAAUAAAUUUUAAGCACGAGGAAUAACUUUUUCACUUAUCGAAAUGUUAAAAAUGAAGUGAUAAGUUACACAUCUUUGUUUUCUUAGAUUGCCAAUUAAUUAUUUCUUUCAAAAUGCAACCAUUGUUAUUAAAUACAAUACAUCUUAAUGCUGCAAACAUCAACCUGUGCAAUUAGUAGUUGUUAAUCUUAAUUACUAAGAAAACCGUAAAAUGACUAAACCGAUAUUUUAGUUUAAUGAAAUUAACAAGUUGAAUAAAAAUAAUUACAAAUUAACAAGGCCCUUAAGCGUAUCUCCCUAGUUUGGCCGGUAAAUAAUCUGGCAACUCUUAACCGUUAUAGGUCAGUUAGCUGGUACAAACAAUAGCUACGCAUCCUACUGUUCCAAAUUCUCAAACCUUCGCUUUCCCCAUUGGGGGUAUAAACAAUCAUAAUCAACCCGAAUAUCCCAGUGUCCAAACUUGUUUGAUCAUUUUAACGAAUUUGAAGUUUUAUUUAUUUAUUUACCAAACUAAGUUUGAACGAAUUUUUUAUCGCAAACUGACUUUGAACAAACUCAAUUGGUAAAGCUCCGCCCUUGCAUUGGGUAGUGUUCAAUAAAAUGUUAUUGAAUAUAAAAUGUUAUUCGAAUUUGGUUUGAUUAGUGAUCAAAUCAAGUUUGAACGUAUGAGCUCUUACCAAGUUAAGCUUGAUUCGAGUAUCGAAUAAUUUUGUUCAUUUUUCAAUCUUAUUUUUCAUCGCUUUCUAAGGUCUAAAGUCUUUGCUGGAUCACAAAUAUAAUUAAAAAGUAAAUCUAAAAUGUUUUACAUAUUUUCGCCUUGCGUGCUUUGAGCAUAAAAUUGGCAAUCAAAAUGGACCUAGGCAAUGAUAAUGAUCCUUUAAUCAUAGUGAAUCUCACAUUGGACGCUGCCAGCCAAGAUGUCACUAGCUAAUUGUACAACUACUUUCUUUGGGACUGGAUGUAUCCUGUAUCUAAGAAGUUGCGGCUCAACAAUAAUCGAAAAACUUCAAAGCAUCACAACUAACAAAUGCCAACAGCAGACUUAUGCCAUAACGUAAUUUAACAUUUAAAUUUAAUGGAUUCAAAUCUUAACAUGUUCGAUGCGUUUGAUAACCAAAAGUUAAACAUAUAAAUUAAUUAAGUAGCAUUAAAUUUUCUAAACAAAACUUACUCGUAAAAAUAAGUAACAAAUUAUUCAUUUAUCAUUGAAUAUGAUAUAUACUCAAAUAUAUUAGAUUUAAUACUUAACUAUUUAAUAAUUUAAUGAAUUCAGACUUUAGAUUUCAUAUUUCAUAUUUCAAUUUUCAAACUUUACUCUCAUCAAACAAACGCACCCUUAGAGGCCUGGCUAUCGCACAUGUCAAGUCCAACAAACGAGAAAACAUAGUCCGGGGAAAUGUAGACAAAGGGUCAAUUAAUAUCUUUGCAGAUUGUUUGAUGAUGAAUUAAUUUCUAUUAUAAAACCAUCAAGUUUAUGCUAUACUUUUCUUUUUUCCUUGUAGUGAGAUGUUUCGAAUUCAAAAUCUCUCACUUAUACUCUUGUUCUUCGUACAGUCCAACCCAUUUCUCCGCUCCCCUCAGGUUUAUGGUAUACAAAUGCUACAAGACAGAGAAAAGAAAAUUUGAUAUACUUUCAAUUUUGAAGGCCAAGAGAUCGAAUUAUUUAGCAGGGUUGUUUGUAUCAGUAAUGCCACAAAAAAAAAGAGAACUAAUUUCACUUUUCACCGUCUUCAAUGAUUUCCACUUUGCAUCUCAAACUUUUUUCCAAAUAUUUUUCACAUUAAAAUCACCUCAAAAUUUAAUUUUGAACAUUUUGCACCCUGAAAUUAGCAAUUCAUCCAUGGCAUCGCAAAAUAUUAAUGUAAUUAUAGGAAUAAUAUCCACCUACGCUAGCUUCUCAACCGUACAAAGUAGGAAUGGUUCUUUAGAAUAUCCAGGGAAAAAAAAAAGAAGAGUGAAUGCAUAUCUGUUUUUUAGCACUUCCACGUGCAAUAUGAGUUGUCGGGCUGAUAUUAGACGCUCUGAUGAUUUUAGGAUUUGAAAUGUGUAAAAUAAAAGUUAAAGAUGCAGAGUAAUAAUGGGCUGCAAACUUAAAAGCAGGGAAAGUGGAAUUAACCCCAACAAGAACGUCGUGCACGGAUCAGUCUCCUUCCUAUUAUAUUCCUCAAACUAAUUAAUAAAUAACUCAAUAAGAUAACCAACAGAAAAAAAAAAUUCCACAAGCUUGAGACCACAGAAGUUUUAAAAUCGAGUUUAAAUUCAUCAUGUUGAAGAGUUGUGGCCAGAUUCCUUCGAGAAGGAUGAGUUUUGAAGUUGUGCAUCUCGCUGGCGGAUCUACGUAUUGGACAAUGGAGGCACGUACUUUUUUUUUUUUUUUUUUAAACUAGAUCUUUUUUAUGGAGGCACGCACCCAACUGGCCAAAACGAAGUAUUUAUAUCAGGCAUGAAUUUGUUUUUUAUUAUCAUCAAUCAUCAUCAACAUAUAAGACUAACAGCGAAGGAUGGUUACUGUUCAUAAGCUUUUCGUCGUCCUCACGUGCCGAAGGAAGGUCCUCGCGUGCUACUGUAUUAUUAUUUUUCGCCUCAGCUCUUCUCGUCGUCUCGUCUCAUCUCAUUAAUGCACCCACGUGCUUUUCCAUUUUUUUUCCCUUCUCCGUCUGCUUUGGUUCUUUCUUAAUAUCUUCCCUUUCACCUCUUUUUCAUCUCAUCUCAUCAAUGCACCCGCAUGCUUUUCCAUUUUUUUAUUAUUACACGAUGGAUUUUAUCCUUUGGAUUUAUGGCCUCCGUCCUUUACCUGAAAUUUCUUCUCUUCUACCUAGCAAUUGGAGGCAUCUCAUUAAUGCACCCACGUGCUUUUCCAUUUUUUUUUCCCUCCUCCGUCUGCUCUGGUUCUUUCUUAAUAUCUUCCCUUUCACCUCUUUUCAUCUCAUCUCAUCGAUGCACCCGCAUGCUUUUCCAUUUUGUCGUCAUCCGUCUGCUGUGGUUAUGAAUGAGUGUGCUGAGAAUCUUUUUCUUAUUAAUUGGAGUAAGGCGUAUUACACGAUGGAUUUUAUCCUUUGGAUUUAUGGCCUCCGUCCUUUACCUGAGAUUUCUUCUCUUCUACUCAGCAAUUGGAGGUACGAUUCCUUUUUCUCCUUCCUAUCUCAGUUUUUGGCUCUUCCUUUUAAUGAUUGUGAUAUUUUUCUAGGGUUCCUCUCCCAGCUAUUUGCGUUCUUCAACCUUACUCUUUUGUCGGAAAUUUCUUCUGUGCUUUUUUCUUUUUUUUUUGGUUGUAUUUUCGCUUGCAUGCUGAAUUUUACAGGUGUUGUUCUUGUCUUUUUAUUUUCUAGGCUUCCUCUUCCAGCUGUUUGCGUUCCUGCAAAGGUUGAUCUUUUGUCGGAAUUUUCUUCUGUGUCUUUUCCAUUUUUCCCCUCUUUGCCUAUUUUACGAUUGUUGUUCUUGUCUUUUAAUUUUUUUGCGUUAUUUUGUUGUUUUCGGGGUAACCUUGUGCAUUUGUCUUCCAAAUCUGCGUAAAGGUACUGUUUUUUCCCCCUUAUUUUUUUUGUGAUCGCCUUUUCGUUUGAGUUGUCUUUUCUUUCUCCUUUGAACCGGUCUUAUCUGUGCCUUUUUGUUUUGCAGGAAUGACAACUGCUGCUGCUUCUACUGUUAGUUUUGAGCCCGAGCUUGGUGCCAUUCCAUGUGAGCCUUUUGACGAAUCUUCAGGUUUUUAUGUUUUAUAGGUUUUGUCUUAGUUGCCUUUGGGUAUGCUUGUUCUAUAUAUUUAUCUUAUUGCUGCUAUUGCUUCAACCGUUGCUGCUGCGCUUAAGCUUCUUCGCAUAUCAAAUGUCUCUGAAUCUACACGUGGUUGGAUGACCUUGGUUCAUGUUGUUGAGGCUGAUCGUGUAAAGGUUGCUAGCCAUGGAUCGAUUUCGAAGUCGUUCCGUUACAAGGAUUUCUCUCUCCAAACUUUUCUCUUAUCUCAGUUCUUUGCCGAUCCUUUCUCUGUUUCUAUAGUUUCUGCUAGGGUUUUUGUGCGCCGCUCUCCCUCUGUUGGUCUGCUGCUCCUCUUUGUUCUCAAAAAAAUUUUCUGAUCUCUCUUUUCCUUCUUUCCUUCUCAUUAUCUUAUCUCUUUCUCUUUCCUUUUAUUUCCUUCUUUCCUUCUUCAUUAUCUUAUCUUUUUCUCUUUCCUUUUAUUGAUAUUCAUAUUUGCUUCUAUCUUUUUCUUUAAUAUUAUCUCAAGCAGAUCUGCAUUUUUUUCAUUAGAAAUACUUAAUAUAGAGAUUGACGGUGAAUAAAGCUCCAUCGCCAUCUUAGUUGGCUAUUCCUAUACUCAACAUUGGUAAUUCUAUGAUUUUACUUCCUUGUGUUUUUUUCUUUUUCUUUUUAAUUAUUGUAACUGAUUUAAACCUUUCUUUAGAAUGAAAAUGUGUUGCAACUAAAGAUGAUUAAAGCCCCAUGACUACAAUCAGCAGCUAGCCAUAUCAAGCAACAUGCUCUACCAUCGGUAAUCCCUCCUUACUUCCUUUUUUCUUGAAAAAAAUUAUAUUAUGGUGAUAUGCUCGAAUUCCCCCUUUUUCUGACAUUAAGCAGCAUAUAAACAAUGCACUUACGGAGUAAUAAUUUUAAGAAGUAGAAAAGUGGGUUGUUCGAUAGAAUUUUGAAAAAAAUGUUACUGCCGAUGAUGCUUUGUUUGACGCUUGAAUCAACUAUUGUGUAUGACAAGAAAAAAGGCUGAUAUUUUAGAGAGAGAGAUUUCCCACAAAGAAAAAAUGAAAUUAAAGUCUGUGCACUCAAUUAUUUCAAAAUUAUUAUUUAUGUACAGUUCACAUCUUUUCUAUUUCUUGUUCGAUAUUUGGUAAUUUGAGUGGUGUUUGUGUUUUUGUGGAGUCUUCGUUUAACAUCCAUCACCUUGAUUUGAAGGUGACUAAAAUUCUUUGUUUGGUUUUUCUAUUAUAAUUAUUUGACUGGGGUUUUCUAAGUGUUUGCAGUUCAUUUGAUUUGAAAUUUUGACUUUAAUGUUUGAACCAUUUGGCACAGAUUACAUUGUUACUCAAUUCCUUAUUCUGUAUCUUAAUUUUCCAAGUGUUUUAUUGUUCUUUUCCUCCUGCACACAUUGUGCUUGUGAGACAUUGGCUAGGUUUUACUUGAAAAGAAUCUAAAAUUAGGCAUUUAUUAUGACAUGACAAUAAUGCUAUACGUAGUUCACUUGCUUGAACCCUGACUUCAAGAAAGUUGGAUGGUAAAGAAUACCUAUGUCAGGUAAAGUAAUUCUCUUAAAAGCUUUUUAUUUGAUGUCAAUCAAAAUGGACUGUUAUUUUCAUGAAUUGAUUGAAGCACUUGCAAUGUACUUUAAUUUCUUUUUACUAAGUUUGCAUAUGUUUAAUUUCAUUUUCUAUUGAAUCACAUUAGAUUAGAUAGAUAGGCAAAUCUAAUGUGUCAGUUGGCCUGUGGUGCUUGUUCCCUGUGUUAAAUUCUUUUUCUUUUUCUUUGAGUUCAUUUUUUUAUGUUCAUUUGCUUUUUCUUUCUCACCUGAUCUGAAUGAUUGUGGUUUUGUGUGUUUUAAGUUUUAUGCCAAUUUUGUGUUUCUAAAGUUCAGAAAUUCUUGAUUUAUUGCUAUAUAAAUGUGCCUUGUAGGCUAGCUGUAUUGAGACUAUGGUAGAUGGUGUCCAAUUUGCUUGCAGAUUUUGGUAUUUGGCGUUAGUUUCUUGUGACCCUUUUUUUAAUCUUUUUUCUUACUGAUGUUUGAACCGUGCCUUGAUUUUGUUUUUUCUUUUUUUUAAUCCAGUGAGAUAAGUCUAUGAUCGUCUUAGAGAGUGCUUUUCAAGAGACAUAUUUAAACUUCCUCACUAUAAGUGUUCACUAUGUGCAGGAGAAUAACAGCACAUGUGGGUGUUAUUUACUUAUAAGAUUAAUUACAAAACAUGCUUUUUUUUAAUUACAAGUUGUUCCAGAUUUUCAAACUAAAGUAGCUGCAGUACAACUUUUUCACUUAAUUAGUUCAUGCUCUAAAGUUUUGGUCUUUUACUAACCAAUUUUAGGUUCAAUCUAGAUUACCACUCAACCUAAUUUUUUGGUUUGUUGAAUGCAUGGCCAAGGUAUUUGCUCAUGUAUGCCCAAAAUGCAGGUUUCAUUUUAGCUAAUGAAUCUUUAAUUCACAGGUCUACAAUGUUGCAGGAUUACUGAAAUUUUGUUAUGCUGAUGGUUAUCAUAUACAUAUUAGGAGAUGAACACAAGGACUAUAAUAUAUAGAGGUACACACAGAUCAUUUUCUAUGGUUGAGGUGAUAUAGUGUUGGUUAAAUGCCAUUUGUUAGGUUUAUUUAAAUGCACAUACUAGCAAAGAAUGUUAGGUUCUUCUAUGCCUCAACUCAUGCCUUUAUUUUGAUAUUAAGAAAUUGUUAAUGAAUGUGAAGUUUAAUGAAUCUGAUUCAAUGCCUGUAGUCUACCAAUUUUAUAACAUUAUUUUUGCGUGCAUUGAAGGUGCUCUUAGGUGAUAUCGAUAUUUUCCAUUUUUUUUCUCUGAGUUGGACUUUCAACAUAUAAGACUUAGAGCCAAAGGGGGUUCUACUGUUCCAACUUUGGUUCAUAUCGGUGUAGUUAUGUUUGGUUGAGCAUACACUAUAUUAUUUAAUUGAAGUGAAAUUCUAUUUAAGAAUACUGAUUAUGUAUGUGUAGUUAUGCUUGGUUGAGUAUACACACUAUAAUUCUCCCUAUUAACUUAAAAGUUAAUCUUAACUUAAUAUUCUUCAAUUUUAUUAGUGGUAGGGAUGAAAUGGCCACAUUGCACUGGGUGUUCAUGAUUGUAACUCAAAUUACACUCUCAACAAGGAAAAAACUUGGUUGGGGCUUCAACUAUGAUAUUGAAGGUGUUUAUAUUGAGCAUUACAUGGUCAGGCUUCAUAGAUUCCAAGCUAACUUUUACUUUCUUAAAACCUUGAUUUCAUUUGUUGUGUUUUUGGUUCUUCACUGGUAUAAAUAGGAUGAUAACUAACUGUUCCCUAUUGUAAUUUUAAUAGGAUGGGCUUAUACUUACAUCUAAAAAGGAGAAAGCUCAUCGUGUAGAUUUAUCAUGGGACUUCUUAGGCAUUCAAAACCUUGGCUCAAGUGCAAUUUGGCUCAGUUUGUGUUGCUGAUGGCGACUGACGAGUGAACUCAUAGUUGUUUAUGCUUAAUGAAGUGAAUUUCUGUUGCAUGUAAUUGUUAUAGCAAGUGUCAAAAUAGAAAAAUGUAACAUAAUAGUCUUCUUUUUAGCUACUAAGGCAAACUGUAUAUGCUGCCUGUGUGAAAAGGGUGCAAGUUUUCUCAUACUAUAUGUAUCUAGCUUUCUUUGACAAGUUUGUGAUGAUUUGAGGCCGUAUAUUAGAUUUUGAAAUGCUUGUCAUGUUGUAGAUGUGCAUUAGUAAUUGGCUUGUGUUAUCUAACGAAGUCAAUUUCUUUUUUAUUUUUCAAAUUAUAUACAUAUUACAAAUGCUUUAUGGGCAUUCAUGGUAAAUUGUCACCGCGCAACGCGCGGUCCAUGCCUCCUAGUUAUUAACAUAACACUCUAACAGCCAAAGGAUGUUACUGUUCAUUUGGUUUUUUUCGUCGUCGUCGUCGUCGUCCGCUGUAGCAUCUCAAAUCAUUCAUCCUUUUUUUUUUCCUUUUCUUUUUUUUUUAUUUUAUUAAUUAUUUAUUCCUUUUUUUUUUCUAUUACUACAAGGCCACGCGGCCUACUCCUUCUUUUUCUUUUUUAUUACAAGGCCACGCGGCCUACUUCGUUAGCUGGAUCACUUUUUCGUCUGUCAUUUUUCUGUCCUCUUUUUCCUCUCUUGUGUAUCAUCUUCGCAUCUCAAUGGCCUGCGAAAAACUUUUCCAGCUUGAUUUCCUUAAUGAAGUUUUGUUUCUGCCGCUCAUUACCCUAUGGUUUACUGUUUUCUCGGUUUGCCCGUUUCGCUCUCUUUUGCUUGCUGGAUAUCUCGCUGCUGUUUCUUCUUCAGCUGCCUUUUGUUUUCAUUUUCAGCUGGCGUCUCUCAAAAAACUUCAUCGGAAUACUUUCCCAGACCGCUGUCCUUAACGGAGUUUCUUCUUGCUCAGCCCCGCCAAUCUUCAUCUUCAGGUGACCUGUUAUUAUUAUUUUUUUUACGUCUUUUCUGGUCUCUUUUUUUCCCCUAUGCUUUACCAGUUUCUGUUUUUCCGCGUAUUUUUCCUCCUUCUUCCAUCUGCGUUUUUGGGUCAACUGUUCCUGCUUUUUUCCCUGCUCGAUUUGUCGUUGUUUUUUGAGCUGGCCUCGGGGAAACUUUUCCACCUUCUUUUUUCCCACAGGUGGCCUCAGGAAAACUUCAGGCCACCCUUCGUCGUUUCUGCCCUUGCCGUUCUUCGGGUGCUUUUCUCCCAUUUUUUGGGUUCGUUUCUUCCUUUUCAUUUCAUCUGUGACGGCGGAGAUACUGAUUUUAUUGCAUUCUUCUUUUUUUAUGUUUUAUUGCUGAUUCUGGUUUUUAUGUUGUUCCCUUCCUUUUUUCCCUUUUGAGUCUUUGAUUUUUUUGUUAUGUCAGCCUGUUCUCUUCACUGUUUCCCCGUUUUUCCCCUCGUUCUUUGUUUAUUUCCUCUUUUCCCCUGGGUUUUUCCUUUUUCUUUCUUUUUUCAGAACAAUCACUAUAAUACUAUCACUAUAAGUUCCAAAAACAUUAUUCCAUCAUAAGAAUUGUCUUCUUUAUUAAACUGCUUUUAGUAAUUAUUGCAAUUGUACAAGAGAAUGAACAGAGCUGCGGAUUUGUCAAAGUCUGUGCCUUAACCAGUCACACCUCCCCAACGAUGCUGGAUCACAGCAUAAACCAUAAUAAUGUCUCUCAUUUGUGAAAACUGCAAAAGGGAAGCAAGUUUUUUCUAUGUUUUCUGUUUUGCCUUUCCUUGCAUUGCUGCCUAAUUGUCUGCAUGUGUUGUUUAACUGCAGAUGUAAUGGGGAUCGUUGUUCAUGCUUUCCCUGCACGAGAUGUUUAUAUGGAAGGGACUAUGCGCCAUGGGAGAGACUAUGUCAUAGUUGACCACAGGUUACCGUUUCAUUGUGGUUUACCUUACUUUUGUCCUUCGUUUGAGCCCUUUUUCCCUGUGUUAGAUAAUCCUUUGAUUUGUGACCUUGCUGCAGUAAACUUCCAAUUCUUUUGACUUUGUGGGAGGAUUUUGAAUCUAUCGAGGGCUGUGUUAUUGAUGAAGCAAUGCCUACCAUGCCUAUUAUUAUCGCUAUGAGAGUUAGGGUCUUAACGGAAAAUUGUAUGUCGCUCUUUUUCCUUGUGCAUUAUGUUUUGUUUCCUUGAUGCCUGGUUGGUUUAUUUUUAGUUGCCUCGCUUGUUUUGUUGUACUAGAUAUAUCAUUGUCGACCCAGCCAUCUUCUGUUAUACUUGUUGCUCCUGAUGUUUUGGAGGCACGUGAGCUUGACUGCUGGUUGGUUUUUAUACUUUUGAAUUGCUGUUCAUCAGUGUGUGGCCUUUUUUAUUCUGUUAUGGGCUUACUUUUCUUUGUUGUUUCUUGUAGGUGUGAAAGAAAUGUCUCGGAAUUAGUCCAUAUGAUUUUUGACAAUAAAUCAUACGCUGAUCCGGCUAUUCUUUUACCUCCUGUUCGUGCUCCAACUCUUACUGCAAUCUCCAGCGUUGCAUCCUUCACUCGCUUUGUUAGUGACUUUCUAUUUUUAUACCGCAGCUUUUUCCUUUGCUGUUGUUUUUUCCCUUUUCUGUAGUUGUUUUGCUGAGUAGUUGCUACUCUCUGUUGUUUUGAGGAUCAAGCAACCGUCUGGAUUAAGGGCCGUGUUGAAAUUGCGUGUCCAAUGACUCGCUUUUGGCAUCUCACCUGACCCCACUGUUAUCAGCCAUAUGAUUUUUCCAUUACCUUAGGGAUCUGGUGUCUUUCUUGCGGCCUGGGAAUGUCUAUUUUUCCAAGGUUCAUUCCAUGUUUGGUAUUAGUUAGUUGCUUUGGUUCCAAUUAGUCUUUUUUUCAAAUGGCUUUGUUUUCUCCUGCUGGUUAUUUCCUUUCGCUUGCGUAGGGUAUGGAUUAGAUUUUUUAUUCAUGACGAUACUGGCUAUGUAAGUGUUGUCACUCUGGGUGCUGAAGCUGAAAAGAUAAUUGGACUUAGUGCAUUUCAAUUGUACCAGACUGUUGAUGACGAGGUUGUGUUUUCCUUUCCACUGUUCGGAGCUUUGUUCACUGUAGUUGUGCCUUGCUAUCCGCUAUUUUCUUAUCCCUGUUUUUUUAUCUGUGCAGUUUUUUGGCCUGUAUAGACAAGUUCGCCGUCGCCUAGAACGGAAGAACCUGUUGUGUUAUAUAAAGCAUUCCUCAGAUGUGAUUAGGUCAACGGCCAUCGCCAAGUUCACAGUUGUUACUUGCUAUUUGUGUUAGGAUCAAGGCUGCUCUUCCGAUUGCCAUGUUGCUCUUGGCUAUUGGCCUUCUUGAUCUUUUGAGCCUUUGAGUCUGAUGUUAUGUAUGGACUGUAUUUUGUCUGUUAGGUUACUUUUUUACUUGAUCUGUAAUUCAGUUGCUUGUAAAUAAUGAGGAGCCUUUAUCCUCCCACAUUCAGAGUUUGGUUCCAAUAACCAAUUGUUUAAGGACCUUUGUCAGCAAUGCCUCUGUGUCAGCAAUGCCCAGUUGUGGCUUUUUUCACACGGGAUUUGCGCCUUGGAUGUUUAAGACAUUCCCAGUUCCGGUACUACAUUUGUUUCCCUCCAUCCCAUUUACCUACUGAAAACUUGUGGAGUGAUUAAUUUUGUUUGAGAAGAAGCUCUUUUUUUUAUGCUCGUUUCUUGCUGUGAUUCUAUUUUUUAAGGAUGAAGAAAAGAAAAGCAUGUAGAAAACUUGUCACGGAUUGCAUGUGCAUUGUUUUGGUAUUUUAUGCUUUAUUGAAUUGAUAAAACAGGGGAUGACACUGUAAUUGGGAAUGGUGAGGAUGAUGAUGGAGCAGGGCCAUGUGGUGGAAAGUUCAAGAAGUUAUUAAUUUUCUCUAGGAAUGAUUACCUAGGCUUGAGUUCCCACCCAACUGUUAUCAAGGCCGCAGUAAAGGUAAUUUUUUUUAAUCAAUAUGUUGUUGAGUUAUGGAUUCUCCUGAUAUCAAAUGGAGAAUUUUGGUUAAUAACUUGUGUUGUGUUGUGGUUUCCCCUGACAAAUUAGGCAGCUCAGUUGCAUGGGAUGGGACCUAGAGGUCAAGCAUUAAUUUGUAGUUACACAAAUAACCACAGGUUGCUGGAGUCGGCGUUGGCAGACUUAAAGAAGAAAGAGGUAGUUUCAAAAUUUUCAUUCAGUACCCAGUAAAUGCAGAUUUUUCAAAAGGUUUUAUUGAUAAUAUUUUUAUUUCAGAACUCUAAACAAUCAAGUGAUAAGAAAAGUGGUUUUGACAAUCCAUAUGACAAAAUUUUUAGUUAGGUGUGAUUCAACUAGGUCUUGGUUGCAAUGAAGCUUAAACCCAAUGAAUUGGUUCUUGCCUCCCAUGUCUAUUGCAGCAAUAUAUUCAUUAUAGAUUUCAUUUCUUUAGAAGGCAACAUAUAUCACGUAUAAACAAAUUGGAUGUAACUUCCUAUUUCAUGUACUAUGGUCAAUAGAUGGUCAAACUUUACCUGCUAUGCUUUUGAUCGUAAUGAAGGGUUGAUGCUGCUGGAUUUAGACUGAUGAAUUCUUGCUCUAAUGUCACAUAUUAGGAUUGCCUUCUUUGUCCCGCAGGCUUUGCAGCCAACAUGGCACUUAUCACAGCAGUUGGAAGUGUUGGUUUGCUGUUAGCUGAAGGGGGAAAACCUAAAAGGGAUGCAAGAGUUGCCAUUUUUUCUGAUGCACUCAACCAUGCAUCAAUUAUCAAUGGUAUCCGCCUUGCUGAGAAACAAGGGAGUUUAGUCAACAUUGAGCGUUUGUAUUGGUCUUUAUACUGGUGCCUUCGCUUAACCAUUACGUUUCUUGCAUCGAUGCUGCUGGCUUCUGUAAAUUCAAAAUGCUCUUCCGAAAUACAAAUGUCUCCAUGGUCUUCAACAAGGAGAAAUAUUUGUAUUCAUACCCCAGUCCCGUACAUCCCUUGCUGUUUUAAUUUUCGGAAUCAACGGCAUAGAAAUCAUGUAUCCAUGGCAUCAUACAUUUCACCUUUAAUAUAUUAGUAGCUUUGAUUACCAAAUUAGUAUAUCGCAUCCAUUACCAGAUUAGCUUGUUCCAUUUGUUCAACAGUUUUCGAUUGUUAACCAAUACAUAUACCUCCACUAUUACUUCUGAUCUAAUAUUACUUAUCAAUAAAGCCAACUAUUAUUUACACAAUUUUAAUCUUUCAUGGGCAUUCACGUUUUAUAUUCCACCGCGCGAAGCGCGGUUUACCUCUCCUAGUACCUCUCUAAGUUGGUAACUGUGCCCCAACUGGUCAAAAAAUUAUUCCUUUUUAGGCAUCGAGUUUCGAAAAAAUUUUGUAUUUAUCCUUGCUAACUUGUAGAAAUUCAAUAUACGUAUAUGCAUUCGUAUACUAGCAAUAAUAUCCAUUGCAUUUUUGAAAGUUGUUAAGGAGCAACUUCAGAUCAAUUCAGAUACGAUUAGUGCAACUGCAAGGGGAGCCCAUCUCCAUCUCUCAUGCAGGGAUCUUCCUCAAUUUUCCUCUCAAAUUUUUACGGCAGCUGAAGGAGAAACAAAUCCCACCUCCAGAGCUAGCAAGGAUUUCUUUCUUGAAAUUUACUUCCUUUUUUUUUUUUUUUUGUCUUUUUUGGCUGGGAUCGUGAAGAAGAGAAAUGCGAUAUUCAACUAUCCAACAAACAAACGGAGCAAGAAAGAAAAAAUCAACAAAGUAGUCGAGGCAAUGUUGUGAACUUGUAAUCAUACUCAAGGAGUACCCGUUUGGCAUUGUCCAUUAAGAAAGGCUCCCUGAUCAAGUGCCUCAAGGGCAAUGUUUUUUGUUUUGAAAGAUUUAUUCCUUUUUAUUAUAUAAGACCCUUUUGCAUGUUGGCCUAGUUACCUUGGUUAAAGACAGAAAAAAGAAAAGAAGGGGCCAAAAAAAAAAGAAAAAAAAUUUAAGAAGACAGGUUUCGAGAACAGAAGGGGCCAAAAAGCAAUUUUGUGUUGGAAUCAUCAUAAAGCCAUCUCGAUUAAGUAAAGAAAUUUUUGUUGUUUAUGGACUCAUUCACACUCGUAUUCAAUCAAGAACCUUGCACCUAGACUUGCUUUUAGUUUUAAAAAGAUUUAUUCCUUUUCAUUAGGUACCUGUGGAUUCGACCCUACUCACCGCUAUAUACAAAAUCUGUAUUUUUCUCGAGUAGGUAUUUAUUAUUGCACAGGUUCGGCACCUGUCAAUUUUUGGCGCCGUUGCCGGGGACUGGUGUCAGAUUAAUUUGUUUCUUUUUUUCAUUUUGUUUUUGUUUUUAUUUUUAUUUUUAUAUUAUUUUUCUCAUAUUUUUUUUAUAUAGUUUAUGGCUUCUAACACUCCAUAUUUUGGUAAUAGUCUGGAUCUUGUUUGCGGGGAAGGCGAUGAGACUAGUUUUUUUGCUAAGUUUGCAUAUUCAGAGGCACUAAACUCUAUUAGAGAAAGAAUGGCUGCUGCAACCCGUAAAAUUUGUUAUGCCAGGGAUCAUUCAACCGGUAUGUGCCCCGAAUAUCAAGAUAAUCUGAGUGUCCCCCUCAAUAAUUAUGGAGAUUUUUCACCCUGGUCUCAAACGUGGUAUAACCCUAAUCCAAACGGGUAUGAUCAAGAAUGGUGGGAUAACUCCGAUUAUAAUUAUACAACGGGGCCAAUGAAUUUUCAGCAGUACGAGUCUCAAGAAUCGUCAUCUAUGUCAGGUAUGUCUCUUGAAGAAAUAGUUGAAUCAAUAGCUAUUAAUACAUAUCAAUUCCAACAGGAGACACAAAGGAGAAAUGAGAUGAUGAAGGAGGCAAUGAGUAAUCUGGAAGAUCAAAUGUGUCUAUUGACAUCCAGAAUAAAUCGACUGGCUUCUCAAUUUGAAGAAUUGCCCUCGAAAACCAUUGUUGAAAAUGAGAGUGCAAUUUGCCUGACUAGUGAUGAAGAACUGCAAGAUUUUCAAGAAGAGAGAUGUACAGAUGCAGUUGAAAAAGAACCCGAAAAGGAAGAAAUUGAACCCCAACUGCAACCCAUUCAAGUGAAAGAAUCCAGUGAAGAAUCAGCAAAUGUGGUGACACCACCUCCAUUCCCUAACCUGCAUUUUCUUAACUCUUACUCUAUGAUUUCUGUUAAUGAGAUUGAUUUUGUUAUACCGGAAGUUCUUGAGUCUCAUGGCAGGAAUGAAUUAAGAGUAGCUAUGGUCAAAUAUCUUGAACCGUUGAAUGCUCUUGACGGAGGAGUGGAUGAAGAAUUGCGAUCAAUGCUUGAUUAUUUGGCGCCCUCAACUAGUCCAUGGAAGACCGUAACUCGUGUGCUCAAAGAUUACUCUAUCUAUGAGGGUUACCAGGAUCACAUUGAAGAUGAAGCAUUGAAGCGAGCCACAAGAUUUUAUCCUCCAUGAACAAGCAUAGCAUGUCUAGCCAAAGACAUUAAAGAAAGGCGCUUUUUGGGAGGCAACCCGAAUAUUGAUUUUAUUGGUUUUAGUUGUUUAUUUCUUUCGUUUUGUCGUUUCUCCAUUGGGUAGUAUCAAGGCUAAUAUCUCCUCCACUGUGACCAGGAAGUGAAAUCUUGGCGUGCCCGCGCGGUGUUUGUGUUUUCUGAGACCAGAGGACGAAGACCAAUCUUGGCGUGCCCGCGCGGUGUUUGACGACCCAAAAAUGAAUUCAAAAAAAAAAAAAAAUUUUUAAAUUUUAUUAUUACAAAAAAAAAAAAAAAAAAUUUCAGCAAUUUCCAAUUGGGACGAUUUACAUUAAGCGUAAGUUUUAUUAAAAAAAAAAAAAAAAAACAAUUUCCCUUUUCUCUUUUCUUUUUUCUUCUUUUUCCUCUUUUCUUUUUCUUUUUCUUUUCUUUCUUUCCUUUCUUUCCCUUUUCUUCUUCUUCUUCCCCGCUGCCUGGUUUUUUUUUCUUUUUCCUUCUUUUCUUCUUCAGCCGAUGCUCCUCCAUCGCGCGUCGCCGCCUCCCUCGCUCACCUCCAAAUCGCCGCGCCUCUCUCUUCCCACCGCGACAGCCGCACGCCACCAGCUCCACCUCACUCACCCUCGCCCGCCUCCAGCGUCAUCCGCAACCAGAGCCGCCGCUGGCCCCAAGCUCCACGACCACCACCACCUCGCGAGCUGCAGCCACGCAGCCGCCUGCCAUCGCCUCCUCCUAAGCCGCGCCCAUCCACCAGUCGCAACCCUUUGAGAUCAGCCCACGACGCGCGCCCGCAGCACAGCAGCUCCACCUGGGCGACCUUCUCUCUCGCCCAUCCUCAGCUCAGCCCACGCAGCCCGCGCGCCGCCGCUCCACCAGCAGCUUGCGGCCAAGGCGCGCCGCUCGUCAACCCCGCCUUCCAGACCAACAACCCCAGCGCACGCCCUCGCGCGAUACCAGCUGCAAGACGCCGCCGGCCCACGCUGCCGCUCCGUCGCACGUGGCCUUCUCCCUGAAGAUCUCUACUUCCUCCUGAGCUCGUGCGCUACCACCAACCCUGCAGCCCUCCAUCCGACGCCACUAGCCGCCGCUAGCCCUCUCUGUUCCAUUGCCGACUUCCACUGGCUGCCGCCCGUGAGCCCAGCCCAAGCUGCUCACGAGCUCGGCCCUCGCUGCACGCGGUCCCUCUCUGCCAAGCUCCACUUCGACCAGCAGUCCGGCCAAGCCGCGCCUCUCUUCACUUUCACCCUGUGCGCCGCUGCUUGUCGCGAGCUCAUCACCAGCCCUCCAUCAGGUCGCACGCCACCAGGAACCUAACAGUCCCCACGCCGUCACCACCUGUCGGUUUCUGACAGGUGGAGGUAUCGUGACUUCUUCCCCUAAUUAGUCUCCAUCUCUGAAAUUUGUGGUUGGAUUUCUUGUUAGAUACAGGAGGGUGGUACUUGGGCAUUUUCUAGGAUAAAUUUUGGACAGAUUUGGGGGUAAUGGCUGCCAUAUGUGGGAAAAUUCUCUGAUAUUUAUUGAAUUGCUGGCCAUUUGCUUUAAUUUUUUUUCCCUGUGACUCACCAGUGGUACUGGUUGAGCACUUUAGCCUAUCAUUGUUGCUGUUUUUGGAGACACUUGCUUAUUUUCAAGUUUCAGUUUUGGUGGAUUGAGUUGCUACCGUUGAAUUUAAUUCUUUCCUGUCUGUGCACCAGUGGUACUGGUGGGAGUGUUUUGAUUACAUUCGUUGAUUUUUUUAUGGUCGCCUGACUGUUUGCGAGCUACUAACGUUGUACUUCAGUUGUGGUCGCACUUUGACCUGUGGUUGCUGAUAUUGCCAAUUGCUUGGCUAAAUUGCAAAUUUGGUUAAUUGUAUUGGGUAAUUGACUGUCCAGUUGGAAGCAGUUGUUACUACUUUGGGGUCCAAGUGUGUCUCAUUUGCUGAAAUUUGUGUCCAAUUGUGGGUGAAUUGCUGCUAUUGCUUAUUGGGGGCGCCCGUGACGCUUCUUUUUGCUUAUUGAUAUUGGUUGCAUGUUCUAAGCGGUUCUCGUGACUGAUUGCUUGUUUUUGGACGGCUACUGUGCUCCUCCUUUGUUUAUUGCUUAUUAGUUGUGUCUUAUUGACUUGCUUGGGGUCUUUGGAGCAGUUGUUGCACUUUGGACGGCCUUAAUUCUGAAUUUGACUACAUGGGGUCCAUGAGUACUUAUUGAUUGCAUUUGCUAUAAGUGUUGGGGUCUGGUUUAAUCUAUAGGAGGUUGAAUUGUGCAUUUUGCUCAUUGGGAUGGCUUUAAAAAUUGUUAUUGCUUUGAAUUUGACUACAUGGUGAAGCCACGAAUGGCACCAGCUCCAGAUGCGAGUCGAGAGACUAGAGACUCGGAUGACCCACAUUGACGUCACCAUGCAAGUCUUGAUCCCCAAUUUCCACCUGAACUGCCCCUGUUUUGAUGACUUCAGGGAAGUACCGUUGCCCCUCUCCUUCCUUCUACUUUUACAUUAUCACAUUGAGGGCAAUGUGUGAAUUAGGUGUGGGGGGGAAUCAUUGUGGUGCUAGAAAUUUUGUUUUUAGUUUCUAGAGUUUUUUGUUUUUCUUUAUUUUUUUUUUGUUUGUUUUUUGUCCAUCUUUCGUUUAUUUUCUUUUCUUUUCUUUUUUUCUAGUGGUCAGUCUUCAUAUGAAUACCAAGUUUUGAUGUUGGAUUGUUGUCUCUGAUUCUGAUGUUGCCAAGUUUAUUAAUAAAAGGUAUCGAGUUGAUGUGGUUGAGUUCAGGAACAUCUUUCUGGUGAAUAUCAAUAAUUGCUUGACUUUUCUAAUUUUUAGUUAACUUUUCUAGGCAUAGGGAAUGAUUGUUGGCAUUUUUCUCGUGAAUUGGUCCAAUUAUUAAUUUUAGUUCUCCAUGUUUGGAAAUUUGAGGCUGGCUGCUGUUAUUUUUGUGUUAUUUUUAGUUAUUGUGCUAUAUGGUUAUAAAUAAGAGCUGACUGUACUCCGCUAGUGAUUACUACUGAGUAACCGGGAAUCUUCACCUAAAGUGUUGAUUUUCGCGACAAAAGGUAGUAGUUGCUAUGAGUGCGCGGUCCCGUAGCAAUUAGAGCUGAGUAACCGGGCUCUUCCAUCUGUCAAAUGUUGGAGUUCGCGUCAAAAAGCUCUAAGGGCUAUAGACUAAGUCUUUUGUUAUUGGUAAAAAAUAAAAAAAAAUAAAAAAAUAAAAAAAUAAAAAAAGAUUGUGUUAGUAUGUGAACAAGUCAGCUUGCCGGUUUGUGAUCUUAGUGUCGAGAUUUUGGUUAAUAGCUGGACCAUUUACUGAUAAAUGUGAGCAACCAUUCCUUUUUCUUAGAUUAGUUUGCUUUAAAUUGGAAAAGUUGGUGGUUGGGAAGCUAACUGGGGGGAUGCUUCUUGGAUUUUAAUUACUAAUGCCCGAUAUAUGGUUCUCUCUUGAAUAUCUUGGCAAUUUGGUAGAUAGAGCAAUGACCAUUAUCAAAUUUUGGUGUCUGUAUACUUUCCCCAUGCUUGAGGGCAAGCAUGAUUCAGGUGUGGGGGGAAUUGAUAGAGUAUAAUUUGUUAGUAAAUUUAUUAUUGAUUUCCCCUUCUAUCCCUGACAAAUAUUGUGUUAAUUGCUGAUAUUUACUCAUAUUUGGUAUUUGGAAUCAAUUUCAGGAGUGAAGCAGAAAAUUACCAAAAAUGAGGGACUUGUAUGGAAAAAUGCAGACUUCUAAGGGCUUCAACCUUUAGGUCCUUGAAUUGGUGGGGACCACAAGCUAGUGCAAGGCAUUUAGUCAUUUGGGCUUUUCAAAGAAAGCAACGUAGAGAGACUUGGAACAACAAGUACUUUGGAGGUUUUGUCCACAUGUGCGGGGACCACGGAUAAGAAGCAUGAGUCAUUUGGACUCUAGGAAAAGAAACGUACAAGACUUUGAAUUUGGUGUGGGGAUCACUAGAGAUAGCAUUAGACUUCCUUUUGGCUUUAAAAAUGGAGAAACGUACGGGAGAUCAAUCAAUCAAUAGUGAAUCAAUAGUUUUAGUUUAGGCUUUUAGCAUAGUUUUAGUUUUCUUUUCUUAGCUCUUUCGCAUGGUUGUUCUCCAUUAAUGGAGGACUAACCUCUUAAUUCUAGUCAAGGGGACAACUGAAGACUUGGUUCAACAAUUACUGUGAGAUCGAAUUUAUUUUAAUUGUUUCCUCCAUUUAUUGGUAUUCAUAUAUUUCCUGCUUUUAACUGUUAUAGCUCUUGUGUAUGAUUGAUUAGUGUGCAAUAAUUAAUUAUUCAUAUAGACUAUUUUGCUAAAUAGAGGUAAUUGAAUCCGUAAUUGUUCGUUAUGUCUAUCUUAGUAGCAACUGGCGUAAUUGGAUUUAUGUCAGGGGAGCAUACGAUCUAGUUUAAACAAACCCUCGUAGCGUGUUUGUUAGUUAGGAUUGGACCUUUCUAAUUAUUAAUGCAAUCUAGAAAUUAAAUCCUACGGUCGUACCUAGGGUUGUUUUUGGGUUAGAGAAAUAGUUAACGGUCGUACCUUAACUAUCGAGAAAUUAAGGAAAAGUUGGUUGUUUAUCGCGUGCAUGACAACUAUAACUAAUCUAUUAAUAAAUGCGGAAUUAUCUGUGAAUCAAUGAUCAGUGCCUGAACCAUUUCUGAAGUGUACCCUUGGCUAGAGUUUUCCCUUAAUUAUUUCUCUUAAUCAAUUAUUUCCUGCAGUUAAUUUAUUUAGUUAGUAUUUAAUCCAAAAACCCCCCAUACUUUGGACUCUAGAAGAAACGAAUUAUCCCCAGUCCCUGUGGAUUCGACUCUACUCACCGCUAUAUACAAAAUCUGUAUUUUUCUCGAAUAGGUAUUUAUUAUUGUACAGGUUCGGCACCUGUCAGCAAAUGAGAGAUUGAUCCCUAUAUUUAUGCACAGAGGUUGAAGUAAGUAAAUCAGGGAAAGAAGUGGGAAAGCCUCCUAAAGCAACUUCCACGAAUUUGGGGUUGGCAUCCUCCCGGAUUUUUCCCCAAAAAAAAAAACAGAGAAAAACCAUGAGUUGACUGAGAAUUAGUGGUAGUCGUCUCAAGAGUCAGAACCGAAAUGCACGCUAAUAGCCUAAUACAAGCAUGUAGUGUUACCGGGCUACUGGAAAUCAAUUCAACUCUAAACAUAAGUCUUUCUUCCACAUUCAGGGGGUCCAUGUGGAGAAUUCGAUAGAUUGAUGAAAACCGGAUACUAUUCUGGUCAAGCAUGGCUAGUGGACUGUCCCUUUUCUUGGUCUUUAAUUCAAGCUUUAGCAUUUAAGGGGCAAUGUUUUAGGUGGGAGAAGAUUUCAUUCAUAAUGUGUAACCGAUUUCUGGCCGUGUAAUUUUAACUUGCUCCAUUUUUCAUAUGUGACCAACUAUACUCAGGUUUUUGGGACCUGAAGAAUUUUUAAACCAAUUGAUAUAUGUCGCAGGAAUAUUUUCAUAUUCGCUCGUGGUUAAAUUUAAUAAUAUUGUACAAAGCUAAUUGAUAAGGCUUUUAUAAUAUUGUAUUUAUCUCUUAGAUAGAGCUACAAACAAAUCUCAUAAGCCAGUUUAUCAGUAACUAAUUGAAUCAAUAUUGGCUGAGUUCAGGCAGUUUAAUUAAAGUAUUAAUUAGUUUGAUUAAGAAGAUGCUUCGAAACUUCAUGAUAUGUAGACAUACUUUUUAACGGUAGCAUUGAUAAUCUAUUUUAAACCCCCUUCAAAAAAAUUAUAAUUAAUAUCUAGUUACAUAUGUGCUCGAUUAAUUAUACUUGAACUCAAGUUUUAUUGGGUUCAAUUUUUUGUCAACCUCUACUUCUAUGAAAUCAAGUCUUGUCUUGAGAUGACAAUGGGGGCAAUGCUUGUGAAGGGAGGUAUGAGGUACGGCCAUAAAUGGGGCCUCGUCCUCCGUAUUUAUUAAACAUUACUAUUAGUAGUAGUGGUGGUAAUAUUAGUUUUUUUUUUCGUGUUAUGUUGGGUUAAAUUAUUAGUAGUAGAAAUAAUAUUAGUUUUUCUAAUAAUAGUACUAUUAGUAGUAGUAGUGGUGAUAAUAUUAGUCUUUUCUAAUAAUAAAGAGACUAAUAUAAUUAAAUCUCUUCUCUAGUUCUCUUCAUUCCCUACCUUUCUUGUCGAAUUAUUUCCUGUAGUUCUGAUGCUUUAAUGUGGAGGUUCUGACUCAUCCCAUUGGUAUACUCACAAAUGUUUUCACACAUUUUCAAAAUGAAUUCAAGCCAAAAAAAAAAAAAAGAAGGUGCUAAGAAGGAAAAAAAGGAUGCCCCCGUAGAGGGAGCAAGGCGAGGUAGGGGGAGCAGGGCCGGGAAUGGAGCGGGAGCAGGGGGAGUUAUAUGACAACAGGAUCCUCUGUUACUCUGUUGUCAUUCCUACUCGUCGAGUUUCAACUCGUGCUUUACAUUAGAUGUGCAAAGCUAAACAAAUUUCACUGUAGAUUUGUCUACAUUUUUCACUUUACAUAAAAUUACAUAAGGUUAUGUGGAUGUUUUAAAACUAUGGGUUCAUAUCAUAUUAUUAAAAAAAUAUAAGGGAGUUAUGAGUAAUUUACUCUAAAAUCUAUUCUACCCAAUAACUAUAGGAUUAUCACCUUCCAAGGUGAUAGACAAGUAAUUGUAAUCAAGCUUAGGACAGAUGGAACAAGUUACUGGAUCUCAACAAGCAUUGCUAAAAAUUUUGCAUGGGAUUGAAAUUCUUUUUUUUUUUAGUUUCUAAAAAUAUAGUGCAAAAUAGUACUAUAAAGUAUCCAAAUCAUUCUGUAAGCUCCAAAUACACUCGAGGUGAUCCUUAUGAAAUAAAGCCACUGCUAAUUUAAUUUGUGAAUUAGAAAAAAAAAAAUUUACGCAAACUUUUCUAAUUAUAUAUUGCAUGAGGCAUCGUGUUGACCUCAAAUCGUAAUUAAGUGCCAAUGAAGCUUUUAUAUUUGAAUUCAGUUUCUUAAGCAAAAUAUUGAAUAGCAUAUUUAUUUGUGAAUAUAGUGACAACAAAAGCAUAUUGCACGCUAUUAUUACAUUGAAUUAUUGAAUUCGGCGUGCAAAAUAUAUAAAACUCUCCACCGCUAAAAUUUUCAACUUAGAUAAACCAGUAAUGUAUAGCACAGUAAUUGCACACAGGGAAUAAUUACAAUCUUUUAAUACACCCUAAAAUGAGAAUUUAAAUUCUCUAUUGUAUUUAAACUAAUGCAAGGUAGCGAUUGUAGCUAGGGUUCAUCAUAUUUACCAUCAUCGUAGCCUCUAUCGAUUUCUUCAACCCUGGUAUGCAUCUGCUGAGGGCCUUAGCAGUUUCUUUGUUGAAAUGACAUGCACAAGUUUUGAGCUCGGCCAUGAAAGGGCUAGUUUCACCAACAAUGUUGGAGAUAAUAAGGUGAGGAAGAUGAGACACGAAUGAGAUAUACAUACAUUUGAUCCAAGUCCAAAAUUUGAAGGAAUUUUUGUAGGCCUUGUUGCAUCGUCCCAAAUGGAAUUGGCAGCCAAAGUUCUAGCAAAUUUUGGCACAUUUUGUCAUGAACCACGGUGCGAUUAAUGGCAAUUGUAUUGUUGGCUUCAUCUUUGAUUACCUUAAAAAUAUCAUACACGGGCUAGAUUAAAUGCUAACCUCUUGACUGCUUAAAUUAGAUGACUAUCCACGACCUAGAAUUCCGUAGCCAAAAUCAACUUUGGUUAAAUACAUAGCGACCUAAAUAUAUGCAACACCUAAAAAUGAGAUGAAUUUGAGCUCCCCCACCUAAAAAUGAAUUUAAAACUUAUUUUUAAAAAUCAAUCCCGUUCAUAAUAUAUUUCAUUACUUGUAUUAAUUGUACAUAAAACUUCAUAUGAAAUUAACUAAGUUUUGCCCUUGGAUUAAUCAUUACAAAUUUUGUUAUAAUUUUAACUCAUUUUUCACCAUUCAUAAGUUUUGUGCAAGUUGAAUGCUAAAGUAUUUGUAAAAGAGGAUCAUUUUUAAUAUGUUGAUAUAGAUAUAAAAAAUGGAUGACAUAAUCGGAUGAAUUUAUUGAAUUAUAAAAUUUUAGACAUAAACAAAUGAAGAGAACAAUAGAGAGAAAUCGGAUGGAGAGAAUCCUAACUCCCCACCUAAAUGGCUACCAAAGCAUUUUAUGAAUGGCUCCUAUUUUUAUCUCUUAGAUCUUUAACUUUACCAUUUUAUACUACUCUACGGAAGCUUUGUCACUCCAUUGGAAUCCCAAAUUUACCUUAAUCCUAAUUGCAAUUGACUCAAGUGGAGGCCAUCUCCAUCUCUUUUGUAGGGAUCUUCCUCAAUUUCACUCUCUUAAUUUAGUGCAGCUAAAGAAGAACCAAACCUCAUCUUGUAGGGAGGUAGCAAGUAUUCAGUUAUUCAACGCACAAACAGAGUAAGGUGCAAGACACGUUGACAAUUUGUUUGGAUAGUCAAUUUGUUUGGUGAUCCUUGUAGAAUAAUGCUACUAUAAAUUCAUGGCACAUGAAGAGUACUGCACAAAAAGUCCUAUUAGUUUCCAAAUUGACCUCAACUUGAUAAGUGACAAUGAAAUUUUUACCUUUCAGUUCGGUUUUUAAAGCAGAAUACUGAGUAGCAUAUAUAGUUAAUUGGGAUUAUGAUGACAAGCAAGCAGAACAUAGAUGCUAUGUUUUCUGCUGCAAGAUGUAGAGGAAAUAAAAUCUGCUAUUAAACUGAAAGAUUAUAUAUAUAUUUUAGAAAAAAUUAUUUUGGAUUCUGAACUUCCAAUUUAUUGACUUUGAUAAGUACAUUAUCAAUACCCUCCAGCACUAAAAGUAUCAACUUAGUUGAAUCGUCAAUCAACUUAGUUGAAUAAUUGCACGGUUGGAAUACUACCAUCUAUUAGUAUAGCUUGAGAAGCAGAGGCUUUUAAAAUUAUUCAAAUCUCUCUUUUUUUUUCAUUUGAUUCUAUGUUAAUUAGCCCAAAAUUCACUGUAUUAGUUGUCUAGGUUCACUAUUGUCAUAGCCUAUAAAUAAGUAUAGGCAUCGACCUACUCUACAAUUGUGAAGUUUAUACAAUUUGGAUAUUUUAUAGUGUGGAAUUCAAAAAUAGAAGAUUAAAUAUCCAUACAAUCAUAUGACCUUUGAAGCUCUUUGGAGAAUUAAUUAUUUUUACUAACGUCCUUUCCAGCAAAUAGCUCAAGCAGCAGGAAAUCAAGUUGCAGACAUCUUUCUUAAAGGAACCUAAGUCCAUACUUCAUUCUUUGCCAAAAUUCUUUAACUUGAAGAAGUAAAAUAUGAUUCUGAAAAUUUAGCAAAUUUCAAAGUUGGAUAUCCUGGAUUCAAAAUUAAGAUUGAGCAUUCAUCUUCAACCAAUUCUACGACGGAGUACUACUCUAUCCUGAUCAAGCCACGCAAUGCCUUUUGCGAUCCCAAUUGCAACUUUUAUCUUAAACCUGUUUUGAGCAGAAAAGAGAAGAUCAUAUAGGUUUCAUUUUGACAUGAAUUUGUAGAUCAAAAGUAUGUUGUUAAUUCCCAAAUUGGGCUGUCUUAUUCUUCCAAGAAUCGUGAGUACAAAUAGAAAUUGUUAAUCAAUUCUGUCAAAAUGAUGGAAUUUCUACCUCAAAUAGAAAAAAAAAUGAAAAAAGAUAACAGAGUUUCUUGAGAGCAAAAGGCCAACCAUUUGCGUAGUAUCUUCGUACACUGUCCCAAUUCAGCAAAUUCACACAUGUUUGAAAGAAAUAACACACAACCAUUACUAAAUCCUGCAAAACGAAAUUACACAAAAUACGCCAACAGCAAAUUAUCUGCAUCGCCUUUAUGGCCUCAUUCAUUGUUUCCACCAUAUCUUGACAAGAAAAGAGCCUACUGUUACCUCAAAUCUUCUACAAAAGCACCAAAGAAAGCCAGACCACACAGAUGAACACUACCGUAGCACUCCCUGAUGAUAUCAUUAAGAAAAAAAUAGAGCAAUAAUUAGUUGUUUGCUCAUCAAUUUCAUGCCUGCAUUACCAAAAAAACUACCAAAAGCUAAAUAUAGAUUAUUUCUGCAAGCCAAUUAAUGGUAAUGACAAAAAAAAUUACCUGAUAUUGUACCCGCUGAUGCCCUUCAAUAUUUUCCAUAAAUGAUCUUCAGAUUCUCAUUUCCAUAAUUUUUCUGUUCUUCUGCAAUUUCCCAUACUAAAGAUUCGACGCCAUCUCCACAAACAUUCAUCUUAAUGGUUUCAAGAGUUGGUAUACGCCCUAAACAAGAAGGCAUCAUUUCCAAAUUAUAAGUCCUGUCGAGUUUUAAUUGCUGAAGACACGGGAAGUAAUCAUCACUGUCAGGGUCUACCUCUGUCCACUCCACAACCUCUACAUCUUCCAACGUCAAGACCCUGAGUUUAGGGAAUCCUCCUUCCAUCAACUCCCAUUUUUGGCCGUCCAUUGACCGCUGUCUUAAUUUGAGGACUUCAAGAUUGGGUAAUUGUUCAAUCAAUGACAUUUUUCGACAGGAUAGACCCAGGUUGGAAAGACACAACUUUUUCAAAUUCCUGGGAAAAGAAAGCCCAACAUGUUCCCGUGAACCUGAGAAGUUGUAGCCCCCUAAGGUGAGUGAUUCUAGGCAUUCUAGUCGACUCAUGUCGCAGCACACUCUUCUUUUUCCCCAACAACUGAAAAUUUUAAGUUGGCGAAUAUUGGGAAUCCUUCUCAAUAUGUUCUCUUCCCCUCGACGAAAAAGACACAGAGUAGAGAGUGUGUCUAAAUUGUGUAGGGUGCAGAGAAUUUCAACAACGUUUUCAUUGGAAGGAAGACAAACACGCCUUACAUGUACAUGCCUCAACUUCUUCAUGUUCCAGAUACUGUCCGGCAAUGAAAUCUUCUCACCAGAUUUUAGACGAAAGGUUUCCAAAUGUGAGAGAUUGGCUAUAGAUGGGGGAAUGAAUUUCAUUUUCCAAGCUGUAAGGGCUAAGUACCUCAAACAAAGAAGUGAUUCGACUUCAGUUGGGAGCUCCUUCAGCCUUAGGUUAAUGCCCUCUAAAUUCAGAACUUUAAGAUGUUUGUAGAUGCAAAAAAGGAAGGAGAUAUUAAGCAACUUAAACUUAUUACGUCCUGGAGUAGCAUCAAAGAAUACCAGAGUACCUAAAUAUGGACAAAAUAGCUUUGACUUUAUAAAAUCCUCUUCACUGGAGCAAAUGGACAACCGAGGUAGGUUGGGAGGUUCAUUAAAGGUAGAAAGCUCAUCAUAUCCUCGCAGGACCUGAAGAAAUUUCUUUUCUUUCGCCUCACCCUUACAGAACUCAAAUAUCAAAUCGUGAAUGUAACAAGUUU
rnacentral:lncRNA from 1 species